rnacentral:lncRNA from 1 species
AAAACAAACACAACCCCACCUCCUCCCCCUUCUAUUUCUCUCUUUGCUUUGGGGUUUCGUCUUCUCUCUCUCUCUCUAACAAUCUCUCGCCUCUUUCUUGUUUCCUCUUCAUUUCCUUCUCUACAGUCCAUUCCUCGGAUGUUUAUGCAUCUAUCGCCUCUCUUUCUCUUCUUUAUCAGGUUCUUUUUUAGCUCUCUCUCUCUAGAUGUGUUUAUCUAUUUGUAUCUGAUCUAAUUUUUUUACCAUUAUUUUCUACGCUUUCGAAAUAGUAGCUCUGUUUGUAUUAGGGAUUUCGUUUCUGUUUAGUCUCCGAUUCUGAUUUUGUUUUUUGUUGCUGUGUCUGUGCGUGUUACGUGCGUGGGGCUUUUGGGUUGGGUGGGGUUUUGCUUUUUAGCAGUAGUAGUUGAAAAUAGGGAAGUCGAGGCGUGAUGGCAACGAUAAGAUCGAGCUUGCCGUCGAGGCUUCGGCAACUUUUUUCUGGUGAAAGCGUCAUCGGCCCCUCUAUAAAACUCGACUCUGAGCCUGUGAGUUCUCUUUUUUUUGGGAUAAUUACCUUUGUAUAAAAUUUUUAUGGGUUUAUCUUGUCUUUGUGCUGCUUUUGAUUAUCAUGGUUUUCUAAUAUCGUUUACUGUUUGGUGAAUCCAUCAAGAUUUUGUGUUGACAAUUUUUUAAUAUAGAUUACUUAGUUUUGCCACUUCCUUUUAGUAAUUUGUGUUGUGAUUAGUUUGAUUAUAUGGCUUGUGUCGCAAUGGUAUCUAUUUUGCGUUUAUGAAGCAAUAUAGAUAGACAAGAUUACUUUUCUUUCCUCUUUUUGUUUGGUUGUUUGUUUUAAUCUCAUGGGUGUUUGACACGUAUCUCUUGUUAUUCUUUUGGUUGACCGUAUCUCUGUUAUUGUUUUUGGUAAGCAUUCAUAUCGGAACUCGUAUUUGAAGUUUAUGGUGAUUGUGAAAUAUUGCUACUUAGUCAUGAUUAAGUGUCAGUGUUGUCACUGAUCAAAUAAAAAAGACUUUACUAGUUUCUUCCCCUUACUAUUUGGGCAUUUGAUGUGGUAUCUUGUGCAUGGCAUCUUUUUCAAGCAAUAAUUCUUAAGUACUGACAAUAUAAUAUGGUUGAGAAAAAUAAAGGUUAUACGUUGCUAAAUUUUGACACAAGUAACCAUGGACGCAAGUGUUGAUUGGUUUGAAGUCUCAUUUGUUACCUCAAGUGGCUCCAUCCUGUUUGUGUAUAUAUUUAAGCACAAAUUGAAUGCUAUUUUAUAUACAUAUUGUAAGGGCUCGGUCCAAACUUACCCAAAUAACUUCAAACUGAAAUAACUUUUGGACCUAUUUUCCACUUGGUCCAAAAUGAUUAACCUAGUUAUUUAGUAAUAUUAAGUUAGAAUUUAUAUAUUGCCAAUUCAAUUAAUAAUUUGCUGAUGUAGGAAUUUUUCUCACGUCAAGCAAGCAGGUAGCUGAAUAUUACACUCUCCCCUAAUAAAUUUGUGACGUCCUUGUCGCAACUGAACGGAUGCUUGGGUAUUGUGAUUCGCUUGUACUUCGGGCGGCUCCAUCUCGUUUCGCAUGGGUAGCCCUUUUCUCGCAGGUCCACUAGUUCUGCACAAUUUUUCUGGAAAGAGGUGGCUUUGAUAUCGAUUAUAAUAGUCCGAUUAUAACAGUCCGGCUUAAACUGAUCCAAAUAACUUUUGACCUACUUUUCAAUUAGCCCAAAAUGACCCAAAAUGUUAAUCCAAGUUAUUUAGUAAUAUUAAGUUAGGAUUUAUAUAUUACCAAUUCAAUUGGUAAUUUGCCAUUAAGCUGAUCUGGGAAUCUUUCCCACAUCAAGCAGGCAGCUGAAUAUUACACAUAUAUAUAUCUUCAGAUUGAUGUAGAACCCUAGGAUUACAAUGAAUCUGAAAACCUCAAUAGACAAUUUAAUAUUAAAACACACCCUUUAGGCAAAUCAAGAGUUGCUCUAUUGGACUUCUAACUAACAAUGUAAUUAGGAAUGCGGAUGAUGGAGCAAAAAUCAAGAAAGAUAACACCACAAGAUUAUUAACCUUGAUAAGUUGUCAAUUUUUUAUGCAACACACAAAAAUAAAAGAAAAUAAUUCUGCACUUUGCAUUAAAAAUAAUGAAAGAACAAAGUUUUGGUGUCAAAAUUACAUAGUGGCCAGCCAAGGCAAGCAAAUAACAUAUAUAUAGUGUUAUAACCCUAAUCCUAUAAGAAAACUCUACUUAAUCUUACUAUUUCAUGGGAACUCUUCCUAAUCCUACUAGAACAUGGAAAUUCUGAAUUCUUUCUCAUGUACCCAUAUUGUAGAAAGCUUGGAACCAGUAAUUAAAGCUUGACCUGUGUCUUACAAGAAAAAUACAAGUUGCAAAUUUAUCAGAAAGGAACAUGGAUUAGAGAGGGGAAACACGGGAUGCCCGUGUUUUGAAGUCUAGGCCAUGUUAUUUACUUUUUUUUUUCUUGCACAACUCUGUGCUUUUAGAAUGGAAGACUACAUUAGUUAUGUAGCCAAAAAUAUGGGGUAGACCUACGUAGAUCCUUUGCAAAUUGUGUAGUGCUCUAUUUGCUUCAAUGAGUUGCAACUGCAUCGAUUAAAGUCAUGAAUAUCUCUCCUUGCUCUCCAAACUUAGUUUUCACAUUGUUCCCAUUAAUUCCCUCCGUCAUAGCUUGCUUUGCCAAGAUUUGGAGUGCAAUUUUAAGCCUCUUAGUUCGAGCUAUUCUCAUUGGACCAAAUAGCAUAGUGACGUCUCCAUCCAUCGCAUCUCCAUGUGUGGCAUGGUGCUUUGUGCUUGCAUCAUAGAUGAUUUGAUGCUAUGCGGUCCUGCUAAUUUUUCAAAAACUAUGUCCAACAAUAGGGUUGAGCAAUUGGUUGUUUUGGUUCUGAUUCAAAUUAAACUGGACUAGCUGGAAACUAAACUUAAUCUUUAAUGGAAAUCAAAUAUAACUAAAUUGAAAUUUUUUUUUACUUAAACACAGAUAAGCGUAGAGUCAUUGCUUGAUAUUGUAUGGUAAAUAGAGGCUCUGAUUUAACACAUUAAUGAUAUAUUUGUCGCAUCUAUCAUAUCGUGAUUUGUCACAACUUAUAGCUACUAUUAACAUCCAUAGAAAUAAAAAAGAGUGGCACAAGAUCAAGCUACACUCAUAAUCAAAAGGCCAAGACCAAUAAAUCCCUAUGACAAAUAAUUGCAGUUGAGGGAGAAGCAAGGAGAAAUGAGAAUAUGAGAGUUGAGACUGGGGGUGAGCUUAUGUUGUAGUAAGAUCAUAGUUUAGUUAAGGCAUGCCUCUGGUAUGCCUCAGGCUCAAGGGUCAAAAGGCUCCAAGUCCAAUCUUAAUGCUUUAAGCGCCUAGGUGCUUGCCUUGUUCCAGGCGUGAGGCUUUAGGAAGGCAAACUUUUAUUUCAAUCUCCAACAAGUGCAGGGGGGGAAAUUCUCUGUUGGUUCAGUUUUUAUACUGAACUAACCAAACUGAAUUCAAAAUUUCAAAAUUUUUCAGUUUAAUUUUGUUCAUCCCUAGUCUAGAAGAUGCAAUUUUUAGGUUUGUUAUGAUCAACUGUCAAUUUCUUAACUUGCAGCUCUCAGGCAUUUUCCAUAAUUGCUUUGCUAAGUUGUUCUUUUUAACUUGAGGACAUAUGAUGUUCUUGGUUUAUUCAAACGCCCCAAACUCCAAGUCUUAUGCUGUUCUCUUCCCCCUUUUUUUUUAACAAGGACUGUUCAAUUUUUCAGAUGCACCAUUUAAAUUUAAUGUUAUGGUUUUCACUUUUGAGUUUUGAACUGUUUCAAUGACUAAUUAAUCUAUAUAUUUACAAAUAUAAUUUCUUUGUUUAUUAAAUUUUAAUAUCUUGUAUGUAAAAAAAUAAAAUAAAAAAAAGUCUCUUGUUGCCUUUUUGCUCUUAUUAAAUAAAAAAAAAUAACACUAAGAAAGGGGAAGCUAGACAGGGAAUGGUUCUUUGGGCUUUAAUUUGGAUUUUAUUAUUUUACUGCCAAAUAUAAGAUAUAAUUUAAUAAGCAUUGAGAUCAGUUUGUAAAAAAUAUAAUUACUUGUUUAUAAGCAAUUAUACUAUUUAAGGAUCAGUUUGUAAAGAUAUAGGGAUGAGUUAUAACUAAAGGGACUAUUUUAUUAAUAAAACAAAAUCUUAUAUAACUAAAUUUAGAAAUAUAGGGACUAAAUUAUAUAGUUCACUAAAUUUUUAGGAUUAAAAUGUAAUUUGCCCUAACCAAAAAUUAUUUUCAAUUGAAUUUUAAAUGCCACAUCAGCAUCAGCAUGUAUUAAUAGUGUAAAGGGAAAAACCCACUUUGCCAAUGGCGUGAAACCACGAGAUUCUUUUUGUCAUAAAUUAAAUUAUAGGACCUUAUUUGAAAAAAGCGUCAAAACAUAGGGUAGUUUUUGGUAAUUUGCCCAAAUUGUAUUACUGGUUUUUAUUGCAGAUUUGACUAUUCUUGCACCACAAAGUGAUGUGCUCAUUAAGGUUUUUUUUUUGUUUCUCCUUUUUGCUUCAAUAGUUGUCUAAGUUAUUGCCAUUUUCAUUUUUUUAUUUGCAUUAGUAAUAACUUUGUUCUCUCACUUAAUGGUUCUAGCUCUUGUUUCCUGGGUUAUACUUGUUCUUGUCACUUUGUUCUUGUCUUUUUCUUGCAACUGAUCUAAUCCAUUUAUGGUAUUGCUUAAAUAUACUAGUUUUCUUGUCCCACAUUGCCAAGUGAUGGAGGACUGAGUAAAGGAGGAGAACUAGGAAGUGAAAUCAGAAAAAAAACUAGAAAGAUAAAUGGAGUGUCCUGCUAAAUACCAGACUCUGUAUCUUUCUUUUUUUUUUUUUUCUGGCAAUGAAAUUAUNNNNNNNNNNNNNNNNNNNNNNNNNNNNNNNNNNNNNNNNNNNNNNNNNNNNNNNNNNNNNNNNNNNNNNNNNNNNNNNNNNNNNNNNNNNNNNNNNNNNNNNNNNNNNNNNNNNNNNNNNNNNNNNNNNNNNNNNNNNNNNNNNNNNNNNNNNNNNNNNNNNNNNNNNNNNNNNNNNNNNNNNNNNNNNNNNNNNNNNNNNNNNNNNNNNNNNNNNNNNNNNNNNNNNNNNNNNNNNNNNNNNNNNNUUCAAAAAAAAGAAAAAAGAGGAAAGAGAAGAAAAGAACAAAAAAUCCCUCUUCUUAAUUUUUUGCUGCCUUUUCUUACUUGAUGCGUUAACUUGCAGGGGAAUUUUCAUCAUUGGAGGCCGUUGUUUCUGCAUUUUGAUACUUACUUCAAGACAUACUUGUCUACUAGGAAUGAUCUUCUCUUGUCAGAUUCUGUUUCAGAAAAUGAUUCUCCAUUUCCGAAGCAGGCUGUCCUUCAAAUUCUACGAGUGAUGCAAAUAAUUUUAGAGAACUGCCAUGCCAAAAGUUCUUUUGAUGGCAUAGAGGUUUUUUUUUUUUUUUUUUUGAUAGAGCCAGAGACUAACAUGUCCCGUCCAUUAGUGUUUAAUGUUGUUAUGCAAUUGUCAUUCCUCUAACAUGUUCAUAUUGGUCACUUGGCUUUUUCAGCAUUUCAAGCUCUUGCUAGCGUCCACAGAUCCUGAGGUUCUUAUAGCUACAUUGGAGACGCUUUCUGCUCUUGUGAAAAUUAAUCCCUCUAAACUGCAUGGGAGUGGGAAAUUGGUUGGAUGUGGCUCAGUAAACAGCUAUCUUCUGUCCCUUGCACAAGGCUGGGGAAGCAAGGAGGAGGGAUUGGGCUUGUAUUCAUGUGUUAUGACAAAUGAGAGAAGUCAAGAAGAAGGGUUGUGUCUAUUCCCCUCAGAGGUGGAAAAUGAUCAUGACAAGUCUCAAUACCGGAUUGGUUCCACCCUGUAUUUUGAAUUGCAUGGUAGUGGUGCUGAAAGUACUAGGGAGAUUAGUGACAAUGCAAAUUCUUCUAGCUUGAGAGUCAUACACAUACCAGAUCUACACUUGCGCAAAGAAGAUGAUCUGUUAUUGAUGAAACAGUGCAUUGAGGAGUAUAAUGUGCCUCCUGAUCUUCGAUUUUCAUUGCUAACCCGAAUUAGAUAUGCUCGGGCUUUCCGUUCUCCCAGAGUUUGCAGGAUGUAUAGCAGGAUUUGCCUCCUCGCUUUUAUUGUACUUGUUCAGUCUAGUGAUGCUAAUGAUGAACUGACCUCUUUUUUUGCAAAUGAGCCUGAGUAUACAAAUGAAUUGAUUAGGAUUGUGCGAUCAGAGGAAACUGUUCCUGGAACCAUUAGAACUCUUGCAAUGCUUGCCUUAGGAGCUCAGUUAGCUGCUUAUUCAGCAUCCCAUGAGCGGGCACGGAUUUUGAGUGGGUCUAGUAUCAGUUUUGCUGUGGGUAACCGCAUGAUUCUCCUGAAUGUGCUUCAGAGAGCUGUUUUAUCAUUGAGAAACUCUAAUGAUCCAUCUUCUCUUGCCUUUGUUGAAGCACUUCUUCAGUUCUAUUUGCUCCAUAUUGUUUCAUCAUCAGCUUCAGGGAGUAAUGUAAGAGGUUCAGGAAUGGUUCCUACUUUCUUACCUCUUUUGGAAGACUCGGAGCCUAAUCACAUGCACCUUGUGUAUUUGGCCGUCAAAGCCCUACAGAAGCUCAUGGAUUACAGUAACUCAGCUGUAUCCUUGCUUAGGGAAUUAGGUGGAGUUGAGCUUUUGGCCCAGAGGUUACAGAUAGAAGUACAUAGAAUUAUUGGCUUGGCUGGGGAAAAUGAAAAUUCAAUGGUCAUUGCUGAAUGCUCCAGAUAUACUGAUGAGCAUAUCUACUGUCAAAAGAGGCUAAUCAAGGUUCUUUUGAAGGCACUUGGGUCUGCUACCUAUGCUCCUACAAAUAAUACCAGAUCCUUAAAUUCCCAUGACAGUUCUUUACCUUCUACUUUGUCACUGAUAUAUGGGAAUGCAGACAAAUUUGGGGGUGACAUCUAUUAUUCAGCUGUGACUGUUAUGAGUGAAAUAAUCCACAAGGACCCAACUUGUUUCCCCGCAUUGCAUGAGAUGGGCCUUCCAGAUGCAUUUUUAUCCUCGGUGGUAGCUGGACUACUUCCUUCUUCUAAGGCUCUUACUUGUGUUCCAAAUGGUCUUGGUGCCAUAUGUCUUAAUGCCAAAGGCUUAGAAGCCGUCAAAGAAACUUCAGCAUUGCAUUUUCUUGUUGACAUCUUCACCAGCAAGAAAUAUGUUUUGGCCAUGAAUGAAGCCAUUGUUCCUUUGGCAAAUGCUGUUGAAGAGCUUUUGCGACAUGUUUCUUCAUUGAGAGGCACCAGCGUUGAUAUAAUUAUUGAAAUUAUUGAUAGAAUUGCUUCCUUUGGGGAUAACAGUUUUGCUGGGUCCUCUGGAAAAAUUAGUGGAAAUACUGAAAUGGAAAUGGAUUCUGCAGACAAGGAAAAUGAUGAGCACUGUUGUUUAGUUGAUGAGGGUGAUUUGGGUGCGGAGGGGGUCAGCAAUGAGCAGUUUAUUCAGUUGUGCAUCUUUCAUUUGAUGGUUCUGCUUCACAGAACGAUGGAAAAUUCAGAAACAUGUCGGUUAUUUGUGGAGAAGUUGGGAAUUGAAUCAUUACUGAAACUUCUAUUACGGCCAAGUAUUGUCCAGUCGUCUGAAGGGAUGUCUAUUGCUUUACAUAGCACGAUGGUUUUCAAGGGUUUUACUCAACACCACUCUGCAACUCUGGCACGUGCAUUCUGUUCUUCUCUUAGGGACCAUCUAAAGAAAGCUUUGACUGGACUUGGUGCGAAUUCUGGUUCUUUUUUGCUGGACCCGAGGAUAACACCAGAUGGUGAAAUAUUUUCUUCACUGUUCCUUGUUGAGUUCCUUCUGUUUCUUGCUGCCUCAAAAGACAACCGCUGGGUAACUGCUCUGCUUACAGAAUUUGGAAAUGGUAGUAAAGAUGUUUUGGAGGAUAUUGGUAGUGUGCAUCGUGAGGUUCUUUGGCAGAUUGCUUUACUUGAAGAUGCAAAGCUUGAGGUUGAGGAGGAUGGAACGGGCUCAGGUUCUGGUUCUGGUUCGGAGUUGCAACAGUCUGAACUGAAUGCAAAUGAGACUGAAGAGCAGCGAUUUAAUUCCCUUAGGCAGUUCCUUGAUCCAUUAUUGAGGAGGAGGACAUCAGGCUGGAGUAUUGAAUCUCAGUUUUUUGACCUCAUAAACCUUUACCGUGAUCUUGGAGGUGCUAUUUGGGUUCCACAAAGAUCGAGUGCAGAUAGUCCUUCAAACCGCUUUGGAUCCAUUCAUCAUUCACAUCAUUCUGAAACUUCAGAUGCUGCUGGGACUUCCAGUAAAAAGGAAUAUGACAAGCAGAGGUCCUAUUAUACUUCUUGCUGUGACAUGGUGAGGUCACUCUCUUUUCAUAUUACGCGUCUGUUUCAGGAGUUGGGAAAGGCAAUGUUACUUCCUUCUCGACGGCGAGAUGAUACUGUGAAUGUUUCACCUUCUUCCAAAGUAGUAGCUGGAACUUUUGCUUCCAUUUCUCUGGGUCAUAUGAAUUUUGGUGGUCAUGCAAGUCCUGGAUCAGAGAUAUCUAUAUCAACAAAAUGUCGCUACUUUGGCAAGGUUAUUGAUUUCAUUGAUGGCAUUCUACUGGAUAGACCAGAUUCUUGUAAUCCAAUAUUGUUAAAUUGCUUAUAUGGACAUGGAGUUGUUCAAUCGGUUUUGACCACAUUUGAAGCCACCAGUCAAUUGCUCUUUGCAGUUAAUAGGGCCCCUGCAUCGCCCAUGGAAACUGAUGAUGAGAAUGUAAAACAGAAUGAUAAGGAAGAUGCAGAUCAUUCCUGGAUUUAUGGUCCCUUAGCUAGCUAUGGUAAACUUAUGGAUCAUCUAGUGACAUCGUCAUUUAUAUUGUCUCCAUUUACGAAGCACUUGCUUGCACAACCUUUGGCAAACGGAGCCUUACCUUUUCCUCGGGAUGCUGAGACAUUUGUUAAAGUGCUCCAGUCUAUGGUUCUGAAGGCAGUGCUUCCUGUUUGGACUCACCCUCAGUUGACUGAUUGCAGUAGUGAUUUCAUUAGUACAUUUCUUUCUAUAAUAAGGCAUGUUUAUUCAGGAGUGGAAGUGAAAAAUGUGAAUAACACCCCCAGUGCUCGUAUUACUGGCCCUCCCCCAAAUGAAACAGCUAUUUCAACAAUUGUGGAAAUGGGUUUUUCCAGGUCUAGGGCAGAAGAGGCUUUAAGGCAAGUUGGAUCAAAUAGUGUGGAAUUGGCAAUGGAGUGGUUAUUUUCCCACCCUGAGGAAACUCAAGAAGAUGAUGAGCUUGCGCGUGCACUUGCCAUGUCGCUGGGGAACUCAGAAUCAGAUACAAAGGAAGAUGAUGUAAAUGCCAAUGGUCAACAGCUUGAAGAAGAGAUGGUCCAACUUCCUCCAGUUGAUGAGCUGUUAUCAACAUGCGUAAAGCUUUUGCAAGUGAAAGAGCCUCUUGCUUUUCCAGUUCAUGAUCUUCUUGUGUUGAUUUGCUCUCAAAGUGAUGGCCAAUAUAGGUCUACUGUCAUCUCGUUUAUUCUUGACCAAGUGAAGGAUCGAAACCUGACUUCUGAUGGCAGAAAUAGUACCAUGUUGUCUGCUCUUUUCCAUGUCCUUGCCUUGAUUCUUCAUGAAGAUGCACUAGCCCGAGAUAUUGCUUUAAAGGAUGGUCUGGUAAAAAUUGUGUCUGAUUUACUUGCGCAAUGGAAUAAUGCUUUGGUGGACAAAGAGAAUCAUCAGGUUCCCAAAUGGGUAACAACAGCUUUUCUUGCUAUUGAUCGCCUACUUCAGGUGGAUCAGAAACUGAAUUCUGAAAUUUUUGAGCGAUUGAAAAGCGAUGACAUAAGCAGUAAGCAAACCUCAAUCAGUAUUGAUGAGGACAAGCAAAACAGACUGCAGUCUGCAUUGAGAUCACCUACAGAGAAAAUAGAGGCUGAAGAGCAGAAGAGACUCAUUCGGAUUGCUUGCCAUUGUAUCAAGAAGCAGCUUCCAUCUGAGACAAUGCAUGCUGUUCUGCAGUUAUGUUCCACUCUCACCAGAAGUCAUUUCAUUGCUGUUUGUUUUCUUGAAGCUGAGGGUGUAAGUUCACUGUUGAAUUUGCCAACAAGUAGCCUUUUUCCUGGAUUUGACAAUAUUGCUGCUACUAUCAUUCGACAUGUCCUUGAAGAUCCCCAAACUCUUCAGCAAGCAAUGGAAUCUGAGAUAAAGCACAGCCUUGUGGCUGCUGCGAAUAGGCAUUCAAAUGGAAGGGUCACUCCACGCAAUUUCCUUUUAAAUUUAAGUUCUGUCAUUUCCCGUGAUCCAAUGAUCUUUAUACAGGCUGCAAAAUCUGUAUGCCAAGUUGAGAUGGUAGGUGACAGGCCUUACAUUGUGUUGCUGAAGGAUCGUGAGAAAGAUAAAAGCAAAGAGAAAGACAAGGAGAAGGACAAAGCACUGGAAAAAGAUAAAUUGCACACAAAUGAUGGGAAGGCUACCUUGGGCAAUACAAACACACUGGUCUCAGGAAAUGUGCAUGGAAAACUUCAUGAUUUGAAUUCAAAGAGUGCUAAAGUACACCGAAAAUCUCCUCAGAGCUUUAUAACUGUGAUUGAGCUUCUUUUGGAUGUGGUCAGUAGCUUUGUGCCUCCCUCAAAAGAUGAUGCUGUGGUAGGUGCAUCAUCAACUGACAUGGAUGUUGAUUUUGCUGCAAUCAAGGGAAAAGGAAAAGCCAUAGCCACUGUUCCUGAAGAUAAUGAAACCAGUAGUCAGGAAGCUUCUGCAGUGCUUGCAAAAAUUGUAUUUAUCCUGAAGCUUUUGACAGAGAUAGUGUUAAUGUAUUCUUCAUCUGUUCAUGUGCUACUUAGAAGAGAUGCUGAAGUUAGUAGUUGCAGGGUUCCACAUGUAAGGGGUUCUACUGGUUUGUGUACUGGAGGAAUAUUUCACCAUAUUCUUCACAAGUUUAUUCCUUAUUCUCGAAUUCUGAAAAAAGAAAGGAAGUUAGAUGGUGACUGGAGGCAUAAACUGGCAACAAGGGCAAGCCAGCUUUUGGUGGCAUCUUGUGUUCGCUCUACUGAGGCCAGAAAGAGGGUGUUCACAGACAUCAGUUGCAUUUUCAGUGACUUUGUUGAUUCAUGCAAUGUUUCCAGGCCCCCAACUAUUGAUAUGCAGACUUACAUUGAUCUGCUCAAUGAUGUACUUGCUGCCCGUACACCUACUGGUUCGUACAUUUCGCCAGAAGCUUCGGCCACUUUUAUUGAUGUUGGUCUGGUUAAGUCUUUGACUCGAACCCUUGAGGUGUUGGAUAUGGAUCAUUCUGACUCCCCUAAACUUGUAACUGCACUCAUCAAAGCUUUGGAGUUGGUGACCAAGGAACAUGUUAACACAGUGGAGUCUAAUACUGGGAAGAGUGAGAAUUCAACAAAACCUCCUGUGCAAAGUCAAUUAGGUAGAGCGGAGAAUAUUGUCGAUAUAUCCCAAUCAACAGAAACUGUGCCCCAAUCUAAUCACGAUUCUGUGUCAGUUGACCAUGUCGAACCAUUUAAUGAGGUGCAAAAUUUUGGUCGAUCUGAAGCUGUUGCAGAUGAUAUGGAACAUGACCAAGAUCUUGAUGGUGGUUUUGCCCCUGCUAAUGAGGAUGACUAUAUGCAGGAAACUUCUGAGGAAAUAAGGGGUCUUGAAAAUGGCAUGGAUACUGUUGGAAUACGAUUUGAAAUACAGCCUCAUGGACAAGAAACUCUAGAUGAAGAUGAGAUGUCUGGGGAUGAUGGUGAUGAAGCAGAUGAGGAUGAGGACGAUGAUGAGGACGAUGAAGAUGAUGAAGAGCAUAAUGAUCUAGAAGAGGAUGAAGUGCAUCACUUGCCACAUCCUGACACUGAUCAAGAUGAUCAUGAUAUUGAUGAUGAUGAGUUUGAAGAAGAACUAUUGGAGGAGGAGGAUGAAGAUGAGGAGGAAGAUGAGGAUGGGGUUAUACUACGGCUGGAGGAGGGGAUCAAUGGGAUAAAUGUUUUUGAUCAUAUUGAAGUUUUUGGUAGAGAACAUAGUUCCCCAAAUGAAACUCUUCAUGUGAUGCCAGUUGAAGUUUUUGGUUCUAGACGUCAGGGCCGAACUACAUCCAUUUACAGUCUCCUUGGUAGAAGUGGGGACAGUGCUGCUCCCUCACGCCAUCCCCUUCUAGUUGGUCCUUCCACAUUGCACUCAGCCUCUGGAAGACAAUCAGGUGAGUUCCUUUGCUAGUUGGUUUUUUUGCCGCUUUGGUUUUACUAUUUAUGCUUGGUAUGCUCGACAUUCCCACCUGAUUGCAUAUUUGGAUUUUAAUGUUGACAUGAUAUUCUCACACCAUCUUGUCUUUCUAUGCAGAUAAUGCUCGUGAUGUGGUCUUGUCAGAUAGGAAUUUGGAGAGUACUUCAUCUCAGCUUGAUAGUAUCUUCCGUUCACUAAGGAAUGGGCGUCAUGCACACCGUAUGAACUUGUGGAGUGAUGAUAACCCGCAAAGUGGUGGAUCUAGUGCAUCUGUACCUCAAGGCCUUGAGGAGUUGCUUGUUACUCAGUUGAGGCGACCAGCUCCUGAGAAGUCCUCUGAUCAGAAUACAUCAACAGCAGAACCUAAAAGCAAUGGCGAGGCUGGUCAGUUACCUGGACCAGGUGCAGCACAGCCUGAUACACCUGUGGAAAACAAUGUGAACAAUGGGAGCAGCAAUGUACCUCCUCUCUCUUCUGUAGCAGUGGGCAGAUCUGGCAAUAUUGAAAUGAGACCAGUAAUAAGUGAUUCUCAUUCUCAUUCACAGUCUGUUGAAAUGCAGUUUGAACAGAAUGAUGCUACAGUCCGAGAUGUUGAAGCUGUUAGUCAAGAAAGUAGUGGGAGUGGGGCAACUUUGGGGGAAAGCCUUCGGAGCCUAGAUGUUGAAAUUGGAAGUGCUGAUGGCCAUGAUGAUGGUGGAGAAAGACAAGGUUCAGCAGAUAGAAUGCAUUUGGAUUCACAGGCAAGUCGGAUGAGAAGAACUAAUGUUUCUUUUGGGAAUGCCACAGCUGUAAGUGGGAGAGAUGCAUCACUUCAUAGUGUUACUGAAGUCUCGGAAAAUUCUAGUAGAGAAGCAGAACAAGAUGGUCCAGCAGUGGAGCAGCAAAUCAGUGGUGAGGCUGGUUCUGGAUCAAUUGAUCCAGCAUUCUUGGAUGCCCUUCCAGAGGAGUUGCGAGCAGAAGUUCUUUCUGCUCAACAGGGUCAAGUGGCCCAACCUUCAAAUGCUGAACCACAAAACACUGGGGAUAUUGAUCCAGAAUUCCUUGCAGCCCUUCCUCCGGACAUUCGAGCAGAGGUUUUAGCACAACAGCAAGCACAAAGGCUUCAUCAGUCUCAUGAACUGGAAGGUCAACCAGUUGAAAUGGACACAGUUUCCAUAAUAGCAACAUUUCCUUCAGAUUUGCGUGAAGAGGUACGUUCUUCAUUGUGCUGUGGAUGUAUGAAUUAGCAACAUUUAACUUCAAGGUAUCUUAUUAUUUCUGCUCUCAGGUUCUCCUAACAUCAUCUGAUGCUAUACUUGCGAAUCUCACACCUGCUCUUGUUGCGGAGGCUAACAUGUUACGUGAAAGAUUUGCACAUCGCUAUCAUAAUCGUACACUCUUUGGUAUGUAUCCCAGAAGUCGCAGGGGUGAGUCUUCUCGGCGAGGUGAGGGUAUUGGAUACAGCCUGGAGAGAGCUGGGGUUGCCUCACGUAGGUCUAUGACUGCUAAGCUUGUUGAAGCUGAUGGAUCUCCUUUAGUCGAGACAGAAUCUCUUCAAGCAAUGAUACGGGUGCUACGCAUUGUUCAGGUAUUGGUAAACUAAAUUCUGUGUUUUUUUUUUUCUCUCUUUUUUCUUCCCCUUGUGCUGUCUCCUGAUCAAGGUACUGAUGAAAUUAUGAUACUGCAGCCCUUGUACAAAGGUCCUCUGCAGAGGCUUCUCUUGAAUUUAUGUGCUCAUGGUGAAACAAGAACUGCUUUGGUAAAAAUCCUCAUGGACAUGUUGAUGCUCGAUACAAAGCCUGCCAAUUAUUUAAAUGCUUCUGAGCCAUCAUAUCGGCUCUAUGCUUGCCAAAGCAAUGUCAUGUAUUCUCGUCCUCAAUCAUUUGAUGGUAAAGUAUAGAAUAAUUUUUUUAACAUCUUUUAGUUGCUAGUUAUAACUAUAAGAAAAAAUUCUGAAAAUUUAUAAUGGGCAAUACUCACGUACUGCUGAUAGUACUAAGUUGAGUUUCUUUCAUCUCAAGGAAGUGAAAAUCAGUUUGACAUUAUUCUAAAUCUACAAUGAUCUUUUUUAUCUGUGAAGUUCUAUUAUUUAUGGAACCCUUUAGAAGGUGAUAAUUUAUCUUCAACGGUGUUUAGGUCUGAAUAUUAGUCCUCUCAAAAAUACAUUUUUAUAACAACAUUGGUGUGAGAAGUUUGGUGAUAUUUGAGGAAUUGGUUUGUUUUCUAGCAGUAUUUACCAAUCUUCUAUCUUAUAUUGUUUGCUUUGUAGGGGUCCCACCGUUGGUAUCUCGGCGUGUCCUCGAGACACUGACUUACUUGGCUCGCAAUCAUCCCUAUGUGGCAAAAAUUUUGCUGCAGUUUAGGCUCCCUCUCUCUGCAUUGCAGCAGCAUGAGAAAAAUUUUGAUCAAUCACGUGGUAAAGCCGUGAUGAUGGUGGAAGAGUAUGGAACAGAUGUAAAACAGUUUCAUGAAGGACAUAUAUCCAUUGCCUUGCUUUUGAGUCUUUUGAACCAACCUCUUUAUUCAAGGAGCAUAGCACACCUUGAGCAGGUGAUUGUUUCCCAGUUGCUGUUUCGGUUUGCGAGAUGUCCUUUCUUUCUUGUCCUCUCAUUUCUCGUUCUAUAUGCAGCUGCUCAACUUGUUAGAGGUAAUCAUUGACAGUGCUGAGUGCAAGCCAAGUUUGUCUGAUAAAUCUGGGGCUGCCAUUGAGCAACCAUCUGCUCCCCAGAAUUCCUCAUCAGAUUCUAAAACAAAUAUGGAAGUUGGCAGUGCUUCUUCUGGGGUUGCUGCUUCAUCGUCCGUAGCCAUUGAUUCCUCCAAAACCAUGGCUCCUGGUGCAAAUAAUGAGUGUGAUGCUCAAAGUGUUCUACUGAACCUGCCACAAGCAGAACUUCGACUUCUUUGCUCGUUCCUUGCACGGGAAGGGUAUGAUGUAGUUUUAGACAUGUGGUCAAUACUUUGUGUACUGUUGUAUACCUGUAUCUCAUUAUUUAUUAAUUUCUUUCUUUUGUUCUGUUAUUCUUAUGGAAUCUUAUGUUUCUUGCCUAUACAUUUAUUAUCUUUGUCCAUGUUUUUACUUUAAAAGUGUAUGCAGGAAGAUUUCAAGUGGUACUUUUUACCUGUACAAUAUCUUUAGUAACUGGUUUUGCUUCAUUGAUGCUAGUAUUAUUAUUUUGCAGUCUUAGAAUCUUCUCUCAUGCUUGAUCUGAUGCUCUGUUUUCCCUCCAGUCUGUCAGAUAAUGCUUAUACUCUUGUAGCGGAGGUAAUGAAGAAGCUGGUGGCAAUUGCCCCAACUCACUGUCAUCUGUUUAUUACUGAGCUAGCAGAUGCUGUACAGAAUCUGACUAAAUCUGCUAUGGAUGAGCUCCGCCUGUUCGGUGAAGAAGUGAAAGCACUCCUUAGGACAACAUCUUCUGAUGGAGCUGCUAUUUUAAGAGUUCUGCAGGCGUUAAGCUGUCUUGUUGCCUCACUAGUGGAGAAAGAGAAGGACCAGCUCCUUCCUGAGAAAGAGCAAAGUGCUGCUCUUUCUCAAUUGUGCAAUAUCAAUGGAGUGUUAGAGCCUUUGUGGCUGGAGCUGAGCACUUGCAUAAGCAAAGUAGAGAGCUACUCAGAUUCUGUACCUGAUUUACUACUUCCUAGAACUUCCACAUCAAAACCAUCUGGUGUAACACCUCCGCUCCCUGCAGGCUCUCAGAACAUCUUACCUUACAUCGAGUCCUUCUUUGUAAUGUGUGAAAAGUUGCAGCCUGCACAACCGGGUUCCAGUCAUGACUAUGGAGCAGUUUCUGAAGUUGAAGAUGUGAGCACAUCUGCCCAGCAGAGAACUUCUGUCCCUGUUUUGAAAGUUGAUGAGAAACAUGUUGCAUUUGUCAAAUUUUCUGAGAAACAUAGAAAGCUCCUUAAUGCUUUCAUUCGCCAAAAUCCUGGGUUGCUGGAGAAGUCCUUCUCACUCAUGCUGAAGGUUCCCCGCUUUGUUGAUUUUGACAAUAAACGCGCUCACUUCAGAUCAAAAAUAAAGCAUCAGCAUGAUCACCAUCAAAGUCCUUUGAGAAUUUCUGUGAGAAGAGCUUACAUUCUCGAAGAUUCAUAUAACCAACUACGCAUGAGGUCAACCCAAGAUUUGAAAGGGAGGCUGACUGUUCAUUUUCAAGGAGAGGAAGGUAUUGAUGCUGGUGGACUUACAAGGGAAUGGUAUCAGUUGUUGUCCAGGGUUAUUUUUGAUAAGGGAGCACUACUUUUUACAACAGUAGGGAAUGAAUCUACUUUUCAGCCUAACCCCAACUCGGUGUACCAAACAGAACACUUGUCAUACUUCAAAUUCGUAGGGAGAGUUGUAAGUAUCAUUUUCUAUAGAUGCUGUUAUUUCUUUGAGUUAAUGCAUUUUUAUUAUUGAUUCAUGUCCAUCUUCUGUAGGUGGGGAAAGCACUUUUUGAUGGGCAACUGUUGGAUGUUCAUUUCACUAGAUCUUUCUACAAGCAUAUUUUAGGAGUUAAAGUUACAUAUCAUGACAUUGAAGCUAUCGAUCCUGAUUACUUUAAAAACCUAAAGUGGAUGCUGGAGGUAUGCUGCGUGGUCUUAUUUAUCAGCUCUUUCAUUUCAGUUGAACUUAUCCAAUAAUGGCAUUGCUUUAUGGUUAAUAUUUUUUUUUUUGAGAUUUUGCAGAAUGAUAUAAGUGAUGUUCUGGACCUUACUUUCAGUAUUGAUGCUGAUGAGGAAAAGCUCAUACUGUAUGAACGGACUGAAGUAAUGAUCUUACCUUGCGCGUUUAUUUUCCUAUUGUUUCCUAUCUUUAUUUAAUUAUUUCUGGUGAAUAUCAUAAUGCAGGUAACUGAUCAUGAACUGAUUCCUGGUGGACGUAACAUUAAAGUUACUGAGGAAAACAAGCACCAAUAUGUUGAUUUAGUUGCAGAGCAUCGGUUGACAACUGCUAUCCGUCCUCAAAUAAAUGCCUUUUUGGAGGGAUUCAACGAAUUAAUUCAUAGGGAAUUGAUAUCUAUAUUUAAUGACAAGGAAUUAGAAUUGUUGAUAAGCGGACUUCCAGAUAUUGAUUGUGAGUUCCUUUCAGUUUUCCUUGCAUGUUGCAGGAUUUUGUGAUUUCCUUUCUUAAUAAUUGGUAUCCCAUAAUGUAUUUCAGUGGAUGACAUGAGGGCAAAUACUGAGUAUUCCGGAUACAGUGCUGCAUCCCCUGUCAUACAGUGGUUUUGGGAGGUUGUUCAAGGAUUCAGCAAAGAGGAUAAGGCUCGCCUUCUACAGUUUGUGACUGGCACCUCGAAGGUAUUUUACUUUUGUUGGAUCCUUAUUGUAUAUGUAUGCCUGAUCAGUAAUAACCGAUUUCCUAGGUCAUUGACCUUGUGCUAAAAAUGUACCCACUAAAACUAUUGAGGAAAUUAAGAUCCAUUUUUUUUAUAAAGAAAAUUACCAUGCUGAUGCUGUUUCUUCACUUUUGUAGUCCAUGUAGUUUAUUUUGUGGACUGCUCUGGUGGUUUUGGUGAGAAACUAGUGUCUAAUUCCCGCACUUCCUAAAUUGUUCCAGGUGCCUCUAGAAGGCUUCAGUGCACUUCAAGGGAUCUCUGGUUCACAAAAGUUCCAAAUACACAAGGCAUAUGGAAGCCCUGAUCACUUGCCCACUGCUCAUACUUGGUAAUCUAAUUUUCUGAUUGCUUAUUAUUUGUUCAAGUACAUUGAUUUAUCUUUCCAACAUACAACUCAUAUGAAUGAUGUUGCAGUUUCAAUCAGUUGGAUUUACCAGAGUAUCCUUCCAAACAACAUCUAGAAGAGAGAUUGCUGCUUGCCAUUCAUGAAGCCAAUGAAGGUUUUGGUUUUGGUUGAUUUUUGGUGGGGGAAUAGUUAUGUAGAUAAAUAUAAAAUACAUCACAGGCCUUAACAUGCUUAUAUCAGAUGCUGAGUUGUUAAUAUAUUGUACAGUCCAAUAUUGGAUUUGGGAAAUGCUUCUGGCAGUUUUUAAAUUUGCCAAUCUGUGAUUUUGAUUUUCCCAUUUUUGAGAAUUAUUUCGAACGACGGCGACAGCUUCGGUUUUUUAUCGGCCUCCCAAGUCCACGAGUCGUAGCUGGAGCUUGGUACGCAAACAAGAAGCAGACACAUAUAAUAAAGUUAAAACAUAUUUGGGUUGAAUUUGGGCUAAAAUUAAUCAAAACUUAAUAAAUAGCCCGAAGUUCCUUUUUUUUAAAAUUUAUUUAAGGGGAAAUAAUUUUUAAAAAAUAAAUUAUGAAUAUAAAUUAAUUAAAUUCUUUUAAAUAACAAAAUAAACUUACUAAAACCUUAUAUAAAAUAAAAAAAAAACAUCAAUCAAUAUUUUUUUUUUCUGUCCGGAUCGGUCCAGUCCGUACGGGUUUAAUUCCAAACGGAUAGAGUAAAAAAAUCUCAUUUUAAAAAUGAACCUAAAAUUUUUUGUUCAAAUUCAAAAAAGUAUAAGCAAUUCUACACUAUCAAAUUCAAAUCUGUUUUGCCAAUACUACUCAAACACUCGCAUCUUGUAUUUAUUUAUAAAUGCAUGAAUUCGAUUCACAAACUCAUAAUAUAAAUACAUAAUAAAUUCACAUAAAAUUUUAUAUAUUUUUACAUUAUUUACGUUACGUGUCCACCUGGUAUAUAUAUACCAGCCUAUAUCAAUGCAUUACUGAUAUGCCCUUUCAAAGGGCUUCUCUUGACAAUUAACAUGUCAGCAUAGUUCAGAGACAGAAAUCACUUGAUGACUUGCCUUUUCCUUCAGCUUCUAACAUAACCAGUCCUCAACUAAACUAUAUUUUCACCCUUUGAUUUCAUUACAUUCUUCUAGAGUUUCCUCCUUUCUACUUGGAAAUGGGAAGGCAAGUCGAAGCUAAACUUAUCGUCUGCAGUAUAUUCUUCCUUCAGCAUCAUCCUUGAUGAUGUUUUGAAGACCACUGGGAAAAUCACAAGGCCAUAACACUACAUCACUUUUCUGCAAAGCCAUUUUUGAGAGGUAGUCAGCAGCUUUAUUCGUUUCUCUCCAUGAAUGAGAUACUUGGUAGCUGUCGAACUUCUUUAGAAGUAGCCAAAUUUGCUUCAAGCAUUUUUCGGCUUUUCUUCUGUGAGAUUGCUCCCCGUUAAUGGUCUUUACGACACUCAGAGAGUCGGACUCAACCCACACUGCUUUAAUCCCAAGGCCAGAGGCAAGAACAAGACCUCUCCAUACAGCAGAAAGUUCAACCAAGAAAACAUCAUCCAGAGGAGCUUUAGACACAAAACCACAUAUUGCAUCACCUCUGUAAUCACGGAGCAAACCGCCAAAACGGGCAUUUUCUCGAUCUAAAGAUCCAUCAGUAUUUAAUUUAAUACAUCCAACUUUUGGAUUUUCCCAUUUACACCAUCUGAUUGAUUUGACAGGAUUUACAAGUCUACUCAACUUUCCCAGAUUGACCAAGUUCUCAACCAAAACCAUCCUUUGGUUUCUAUAUGCCAUAUAAAAUGGACUGUAUGUUAAGUUGGAUGCCAUUUCUUCAGCUCUCACUUCUUCUUUCUUGGCCUUAUGCUUCUUACCUCGCAGGUGUUUAUUUAAGCAUUUUUCAUUGGUAGUGCUUACCAGACAAAGCGAGCAACUCCACUCCCUUUGUACUUUCUUUGAAAUAAUUGGCGUUUGAUCACUGUCUACAUUGUCAUAAUUAGGCUUGAAAGUUCCCUGCCAAAGAUAAAUAUCAAAGAAAACAUUCACAAAUAAGUAUUUACUCUCUAACUUGGCCUUGUUCGACAAUACUAGCUGUUAGCUAUUUUAGUAGCCGGUAGUUGUUUUAGGAGUGAUCAUUCAAACGUUAUAAGAAGUAACUUUUCAUAAUGUGUUUUGACUUAGUCACAAUAUUAAACACUACCUUCAAAAUUAUUUCCAAACAAAGUAUUAAGACUGCAUUCAAAACUGUCAUUAGUUUAUAUGUCAAUUCCUCUAAUAAACCAAAUACACUAAGAAGGCAAAAAGAUAUUACAUGAUGUAAAUACAAGCUUGAACCCAUGUGAUGAAGUACCUGGAAAAUAACAGGUUUCUGCUGUUCUUCUUGUCCUUUGACAGUUCUGUUUUUAUCAAUCUCAUCGACAAAGUUGUUCAGCCCAUUGAAUGGGAAAUUUUUUCUCACUGGAAUGAACAAGAUGUUCCAUAUCAAACAGAAUAUCUCUGAAACUUUAAAUGGAUGAGUUCUCACAAAACACUUGUAGACAUAAGAAGCACCACCAAAAUAAGGUACCACCAACAAGACAGUCACUGUCCCCUUCACAUAAGGCCAGUAAGGAAGCCUGUCAAUAAAGAACAUGAAAAUAAGGCUCAUUAAAGGAUUCCUUAAUCGGUACAAAUGCAGCCAAGAUAUUGACCACAUGUAACAGAAUUGAAUGUCGUCCAAGAAUUCAUAUAGUCGACCCCAACUCGUUUAGGAUUAAGCCUUAGUUGUUGUUGUGCAUCAAAGCAAUUGAUUGUACUAUGUGCAAGCUUCUUAGUGAUUGCUAAAGAUGUUUGAUCCAGCAAUCCAACUCAACAACUUAUUUUGAGUUUAAUCCCAAUAGUAAGUUAAAUGCCCAAUAUCAAGCACUGAACUCAUUUAAUCUACUUCUUUAAAACUCAAUUAUAAUUACAAAAUGAAUAGACUUUAAUCCCUAGGGUUCUAAAUUUUUAACCAAGCAUGAUGAAUAAUAGAAUCAAGUAUUGAGAUAUAAUGUAAUUCCAUCCUCAACCCAAAAUUGGGCAUUUCAAAAGCAGGAUUCAGAUAUGAAGUCAAAGAAUGAAACAACUCUAAAUUACCAUAGGAGAAGCUUUGCAAGUGCAUUCUCCAAAAUAGCCAAAAGAGCAAAAAGAACCCAGAAAGUCAGACAUUUCUGACUUUUAGCCUGCGAAUCACUCUCUAUUGCCCAAUAUGAAGCAUACCUACAACCAAAAGAAAACUUUCAAAUUUGAAACAAAAAAAAAAAAAAAAAAANNNNNNNNNNNNNNNNNNNNNNNNNNNNNNNNNNNNNNNNNNNNNNNNNNNNNNNNNNNNNNNNNNNNNNNNNNNNNNNNNNNNNNNNNNNNNNNNNNNNNNNNNNNNNNNNNNNNNNNNNNNNNNNNNNNNNNNNNNNNNNNNNNNNNNNNNNNNNNNNNNNNNNNNNNNNNNNNNNNNNNNNNNNNNNNNNNNNNNNNNNNNNNNNNNNNNNNNNNNNNNNNNNNNNNNNNNNNNNNNNNNNNNNNNNNNNNNNNNNNNNNAAAAAAAAAAAAAAAAAGAAAAAUUCAUGGAAAGAGUUACUUACAAGGGACAGAGCAAAGUAAAAGAAGGCCUGCAAUCCACAAAGAACGAACAAAAUUAACAGAAAAGAGUUGCCAGAUCUUAACAGAUCAAUCAAACAAACAGAUGGUCGAGCAUGGAAAGGAAAAGAAAAGAAAAAGGAAAGAAAACAGACAUACCAAGAAAGAACAUUGAAGAGUUGAGCAGACAAAAACUGGAGGAGAACUCUCCAAGGCAUCUCUUAACAUGUGUCGCAGGUGCAAUUUUUUCCUCUGGGUAUUGGGUGUUCGGAAGCUGGCCGUAGGAACAGUGGGAAGACGAAGAGGAAGAAGACUUCGGGAGUCAAUGUCGCAAUCAAUGGGAUGUCAAGAAUUGGGUGAGAUUCGGACGGUCUAGUGUAAAAUUGAAAAUAAAAACGUUAGUAUUUAUAAAAAUUAAAUUAAAUUAAUUUUAAUUAAAAAUUAAAAUAAAAUAAAUUAAUUUAAUUCGAAUUAAUUAAUUUAAAUUUUUAAUAAAUUUUUUAUUUUAUUUUUAAUAUUUUAAAAUUUACUUAAAAUAUUUUAAUUUUAAUUAUAAUAUAAUUUUUUUAUAUUAUUAAAAUCAUAUAUUAUUAUAAUUAAUUAGUUCAAUUUAAUUUUUUUAAUUCAAAUUGAAUUAAAUUAAAAUUAAUUUUUAAAAUUAAAAUAAAUAAUUAAUUAAAUUUAAAUUUUAAAUUAAAAUUAAUUUUUUUAAUUUAAACUAAAUAGGACAAACCCCUAGCGUUAACGGUUCCCAAGUCCGAAGACCGGUACUGUCUUUCCUCUUUAAGCUCUCCUUGUCGCAUUAGCCCUUUUCUUUAUUAAUACGACAAUAAAAGUGUAUAUAAUUUGAAAAUAAUACAUAUCGUCAUUUUAUUAUUCACUUAGUCUCCUAAUUUUUAUUUAUUUUAUUUUUUUAUAUAUAUUCUUUCAUUUUAUUAUUUUUAUUUAUUUAUUUAAAAAUAAUUUUUUAUUAAUUAUUUAAUUAUAUUUAUUUUAAAAAUAUUAAAUUUUAUUAAAAAUUAAGAGAUAUUUUAAAAAAAAUUUUAAAAAUAAAAUAAAAUAAAAUUAUAAUAGUCAAUUUAUAUGUUAUUAUAAUAUAAAAAAUAAAAUAAAUAAUAAUUUUAAGAUAAUUAAAAAAGGAAAUAAAAAUAAAAAUUAUGGGACGAGAGUAUUAAAAAAAAUAUUUUUUUAUUAACUUUUUAAUUAUAUUCAUAUUAAAUUUUAUUAGAUAUUAAAAAUAUUUAGAAUUUUUUUUUAAAAAAUAAGAUAAAAUUAAAUAUAAUAAAAUUAUUAAUUUAUAUAUUAUUAUAGUGCAGAAAAAAGUGAAUAAUAAAUUUAGAAUUAUCAAAAAAUAAAAUAUAACAAAAAGUAUAAAAAGAAAAAAUAUUAAAAUAAUGUUUAAAAAGUUUAUUUGUUUUAUUAAUUUAGCUAAAAUAAAUUGGAAUUUAAUAAUUAAAAUUAUAUUUUUAUAAAAUUUAAUUUUAAUUAAUUUAAUAUAAUUUUAUUGAAUAUAAAUUUAUUAAAUCUAUAUUUAAUUUUAUUUAAGUAUAAAUAAUGCAUUAAUAAAUAUUUUAUCUUUAAAAUAAAUAAUGUGUUUGUCUCUUUCUAAAUUUAAAUAUUUCAUUUGUACCUUAAAAAGUAGACGUUGCAUUAUAUUUACAUUAAAAUUAUGUAAUAUAUCUAAAAAAUAUAAAAAUUAUGUAUAUAAAAUCGAAUUUACUGCUUUUAUUUGGUAGGAAUAAAGAUGACUUUUGAUUCAAUAUAAUUAUUGAUAAAAAAAUUUAUUUCACCCGAUAUUUAAUAUAUAAAUUCAAGCUCUUUAUAGAUUUAUUUUUAUAAUUAAUAGUGGUUUUGUAAGCAUACAAAAUUGGUAAGUAAUAAAAUAAUAAUUUUAUAAAUAAUUAUCACUACAAAAAUUUAUCAAAAUAAUAAUAAAUAUUAAUAAUAAAUUAAUUUCAUUAUUAAAUUUAUUACUAAUUCGCGUGUUUAUAUAUCUACACAAAUCUCCAUAUUUUUUUGUUCUCUUAUAUUCUCUUCUCAUUCCUUUAUUUUUUUUUUAUCUUAUUUUCUUCUCCUUAUUAUUGACUCUAAUUUUCUUUUAUUUUAUUUAAUUUAAUCAGAAAAUUUAAUUAACAAAAAAUAUUUUCUCAAUUUUUUAAUAUUUAAAACACAAAAAAAAAUUAAGUUAAUAAAAAAUAUUUUACUCAUUAUUAAUUACAAAUUAAAAAAUAGAUUUAAUAGAAAAGUAGAACUUUCUUUUGCAUAAAUAGAAAUCACACAAUCUUUUUUGAUAAUAUUAGAAAAUAUUAAUUAAAAACAAAUAGAAUGUUCAUAUAACUUCCACAUUUUACAUCUACAUUUUUCCAAAAUAAUACUGCAAUUCGCAAUGUAAUUAAUUACAAAAACUACAAACUUGAUAUAAAAAAAUAUAUAAUAUAUUUUUUCAUAAUACUAAAAAUAUUAUUUAAAAAAAUAUCAAAUUAGUUAAUUAUGAAAAAUAUUAAAUUAACAAAAUAAAAAAAAUCUCUUUGCGUAAAUAAAAAAAUAAACAAUUUUUUUUAUGAAUACUAUAACAAGUAUUGAUUAAGUAAAAUACUAAAUAAUAGACAUCUAAUAUGUGGCGGAGCCAGAAGCUUCCAUUUGGUAGGGCACCGGCUGCGCCUGGCACCUUCAUCUCCCUUCAAAAUAUUUUCCGGUCGCUGGUACGGCACGUGCCCUUUGCCGUACCUUCCUUCCGCCCCUGCAUCUAAUUACAUUUUAUAUUUAAAAUUUAUAAUUUUAAUUAAAUUUAAAAAUUUUAUAGAAAUCACACACAAUCUUUUUUGAUAAUAUAAGAAAAUAUUAAUUAAAAACAAAUAGAAUGUUCAUAUAACUUCUUAUACAACUUCCACAUUUUACGACUACAUUUUUCCAAAAUAAUACUUCAAUUCGAAAUGUAAUUAAUUACAAAAACUACAAACUUGAUAUAAAAAAAAUAUAUAUAAUAUAUUUUUUCAUAAUACUAAAAAUAUUAUUUUAAAAAAAUCAAAUUAGUUAAUUAUGAAAAAAUUAAAUUAACAAAAUAAAAAAAUCUCUUUGCGUAAAUAAAAAAUAAACAAUUUUUUUUAUGAAUACUAUAACAAGUAUUGAUUAAGUAAAAUAUUAAAUAAUAGGCAUCUAAUCUGUGGUAGAGUCAGGAACUUUUCUUUAGUCGGGUACCGGCUGCGCCGCUGCGGCACCUUCAUCCCCUUUCAAAACAUUUUUCGGUCACCGGUACGGCACGUGCCCCCUUGCCGUACCUUCCCACCGCAUCUGCAUCUAAUUACAUUUUAUAUUUAAAAUCUAUAAUUUUAAUUAAAUUUAAAAAUUUUAUAGAAAAAUUUAAGAAUUUAAGAAAAAUAUAAAUUUAACAUGUACAACUUAUAACUCACUUCUCAAUAUUUAAGGUGUAUUUUUAUAUUAUAGUUUAAAAGUAUGAAUAAACUAAUAAUGGAAAUAGUUUAAAACAGACCCUCCUCUCUCGCAGUGAUAAGUGAGAACCUCACGGAUCGAGUUUAUAUUUUUAUUGAAAGGCAAAAAACAAAAUUUGAGGAGAAUUUUUUUACUACAUGAAAAAAAAAAUAUUAAAUUAUUAAAGGCCACAAAAAAAUUAGAGAAAAAUUCUCCUCUUCACUCCUUACUUUCAUAAGGAUCAUUUACUAAUAUGGAAAUGCAUUUUGGAUCUUGACAUGAAAAUUUACUAAUGUGUAGAGAAUUGAAUAGAUUUUAUUAGUUGUUUUGGAUGAUUUGAUCGAGUUUCAGAAUCAAGCAUACAUGGCAACCUCAGUAGUGAAAUUUCUCUUUGGAUUGUCGAUGAUGUCCAUCACAUUAUGGAUGGUCUUCAUGUAGGUUCUCUUAAUUUUGAUUUCUCUGUGUAUCUAUUCUUUGAGUUCUUAAUAUCUUCUUCCUCUUUUUUUUUUUAAUAAUCUUUUUGUUUGAUCUGGUAAUUUAAUUUUAGUAUAUGUUCAGUUUGGUAAUUUAAGCCUGUAUUACAUAUCGAAUUAAAUGAUUUAUUGAAAUAUUUCCGCUCAAACUGAUUCAAAUAAUUUUUUUAAAUUCACUUUUCACUUGAUUCAAAAUGAUUAAUCCAAAUUAUUUAGUAAUUUCGUGUCAACUAUUAUAUAUAAUUCGAAAUUAUCAUAAUUUGCGGACGAUUUUCCACGAGUCGAGAGCUGAAUGGUUACAUUUAUAAUAGAAGUAGUCGUUGUAUGCUAAUUUUGCUUCUCUUUUCAGGUUUACUUCUAGAUUGUUGGCUUGGAUUUUAAGUCGAAUUCUUAAAGCAUCAGUUAGAUUUCGUGUUGGUGGAUGGAAAUGUUUAAAGGAUAUUGUAGUCAAGUUCAAAAAGGUUCAUCUUUUAUAUUUGUUAUUUUAUUUUUAUUUGAAUAAAUUAAUGAGGAAGGUUGUCUUCUUUUCUUACAUCAUAGUAAAGUUUUGAAAAUUUUACAGGGUUCUAUUGAAUCUAUAUCAGUUGGUGAAAUUAGACUUGGAAUACGUCAGUCCUUGAUCAAAAUUGGGGUUGGUUUCAUUUCCAAAGAUCCAAAAUUACAUGUGUUAAUAUGUGACUUGAAAGUUGUAAUGAGGACUUCUAGCAAAGGCACCCAGAAACCUAGAACUCGAAAAGCUCGAACUAGCUCUUCAGGCCAAGGAAAGUUGAUGGUCAUAGCUAAUGUAGCAAGAUUUUUGUCACUUUCCAUCACAAAUUUGUCUUUAAAGGUAAGUGGUCUGGCAAUUUGACACCACUUCUACUUAAUUAACACUCACCAGCUCUUUCUUUGUUCUUCCAAAAUCAUUACAGACACCCAAAGCUGCAGUUGAAUUUAAGGAAUUGAAAUUCGACAUAAGCAAAGAUGGUGGACAUGGAUCCCAAUCAAAUAUUUUUAUUAAGCUACAAAUAUUACCUAUUGCUAUCCACAUAGGUGAACCACGUGUCAGUUCUGAUGAAUCAUUCAACUCUGAUGGUGGGGCAUGCAAUAUUGCAAGUGACACAUCAUCUAGUAUAAUGGAAGGGCCUUUUGCUUCCUUCAACUGUGAAGAGUUUUCUUUCUCUUGUGAAUUUGGUCAUGAUAGGUAAAUUUCUCUUUACUUUGUGUUUGAUUAUGAAGAUUAAGGUGUUAGGUUUUAUGAAUUUCAUGUUUUUGGUUGUAGGGAAAUUGGUCUAAUUAUCCAUAAUUUUGAUAUUAACUGUGGUGAGAUUGCUAUGAGUCUUAAUGAGAAGCUACUUUUAAAAAAGAAGACUUCAGAUACUUCUUCUCAAAGAGAUAAAGCAGCAAUCGAUCCUCCUGUUGUUAAAGAUCCACAGAGAAAACAACCACCUCUUGUUGCAAUUAUCAAGUAUACUUCCAUGAUUCCUCAAAAGGUUUGUCAACUAUUUUAAUAGGUUUCCAAAUUUUCUAUUGAUUUAAUUGUGAAUUGAGAAAAUUACUUUUUAUCUUGUAGGUUAGCUUCAGUUUACCAAAAUUAGAUGUAAAAUUUGUCCAUCAAGAACUUGAUCUUGUCUUCGAGAAUAACAUCACAGGCAUUCAAUUAAAGAGCAUGAAAUCACGAAGCGUCGAAGAUAGAGAAGAGAGCACUCGCCUUGAUGUUCAAAUGGAUUUCAGUGAGAUACAUGUAUGAGUAAUAAUUGUCGAUAAAACUAACUUAGAAUUUUAAUUUUCGUAUUUAUCAUUCUGCAUGACUUGGCUUUUAUGAGUUUUACAUUAUAUUUUAGAUUCUCAAAGAAGGUGGAACUUCAGUUUUGGAGAUUCUAAGAUUUGUUAUCAUCUCUUUUAUUUACAUUCCUUCAGAGGUAAAUCUUCUAUAAUUAUUCUAUUUUCCAUUCUUUUUGAGACUGAUGAGGCAGAUAGAAUUAUCCUUUUUUUUCUUUUUUUUCUUUUCUAAUUAUGUUUUUCAGCCAACUUCACCGCUUAGAACUGAAGUAGAUGUUAAGAUAGGAGGUACUCGAUGCAACAUUAAUAUUAGUAGAAUAAAGCCAUUGUUGCAACUCCAUUCCUCGAAAAAGAAAAAACUAGUACUUCGAGAGGAGGGUCCUCCUCCUGCAAAGCCACAAUCAACUGGAUCCAAAGUCAUCAUCACAUGGACAUGCACUGUGUCAGCUCCGGAGGUAACAAUUGCUCUGUACAGUAUCAGUGGAUCACCUCUAUAUCAUGUAAGUGAUGCACUUAUUUCCUGUGACUUAUAUUGUCAUGUACUAUCUCUCUCUCUCCCUCUACUACACUCCUUCCCACCAGCGACUCUUUCUGCUGUAACGAGUUACCGUUGUUGAUUUGCUGUCACAACAGUGGAUAAAUUGGGUACCAUUUUAGGCCUUACCCGCAUUUGCUGCUGGUACUCAUGGCAUUUGCUUAUUUGUUGAACAUUUUUAAAAAUUAUGGCCUUUUUUUAAACUGGAAUCUGAUUUCAAACAUUUUAGUUAAGCAUUAAAAGUUAGGCAAAUGAUUAUUAAUGGGUUUAUUUAAUCAUGAAAGGCACACACGAAAUCAAAAUAAAAAAGAAAAUUUUAUUGUUGCUUAGAUGGCAAGAGUACUGCCAAAAAUCAAUGUACUAGAACCAUAAACCCACAUGAGGAAGACUUGGUACCUCAACCCACAAUGAGAUUCUUGUUUCAGUUGAAAACCCACAAAGAAUCACUGCCGAAAGCUCCAACAUACUACCAAUGGCGAUGGUUUCUUGUUUAGUCGUUAACUCUUAUGCAAUCUUUACAUCUAUGCAAUUUAAGUAUAUAUACUUUUAGCAGUUUUUUUCUUUCAAGUCCUCAUAUUCUACUGGUUUUAGGAGUUCAUUUCUUUUAGUUCUGAUAUUUUCAGUUCCCAUGCUUGCUCAAUUUAAAUAGUUAUCCUUUUCAUAGCAGUGCAAUGAACUUCUGCCUUCUUUGUGCAGUUACGCUGGCAAUCAUCACAUGUUUUCGCAAAUAAUGUAUCAAGCAAGGGCAUUACAUUACAUUUGGAACUUGGUUUACUAAACUUCCUCAUGGCAGAUGAAUGUCAAGAACGAUUGAAAGAAAGCUCAGUUGUUGAAUCAAAUUCAGGUGCAAUAGUUCAUAUAGCGAAGCUUAGUUUAGAUUGGGGCAAAAAGGACGUAGAAUCAUCUGAAGAGGAUAAAGCUAGAUGUAAAUUAGUUCUCUCUGUUGAAGUGAAUGGCAUGGGCGUUCAUGUCAACUUCAAACGCAUACAGUCAUUUGUAGUAACUGCUAUUUCCUAUCAAUCUUUCCUGAAAAGUUUAUCUGGUUCUACUAAAAAAACAACGCAGAACCGAGCUGUGCGAUCAUCUAAACCAUCAGGGAAAGGGAUUCAAAUGUUGAAAUUUAAUUUGGAACGGUGUUCUAUAAAUCUUUGUGGUGAAACAAGUUUGGACGAUGCAGUUGUUGCUGAUCCAAAGCGUGUGAAUUAUGGAUCACAGGGUGGUCGAUUUGUAAUUAGUGCCGCAGAGGAUGGCACCCCACGUACUGCAACUGUGCUAGCUACAGUUCCUGAUGAUUGCAGGAAGAUAAAUUAUUCUGUUUCUCUUGAUAUUAUCCAUUUCACUUUGUGUGUGAACAAGGAGAAUCAAUCUACAGAGGUUGAACUUGAAAGAGCAAGGUCUAUUUAUCAGGAACAUUUGGAGGAAGAUAGACCUGAUGCAAGAGUAACAUUGCUUGAUCUGCAGAAUGCAAAAUUUGUACGACGUUCUGGCGGUCUUAAAGGGGUUUCUAUUUGCUCUCUAUUCAGUGCUACUGAAAUUUCAGUUGGGUGGGAGCCUGAUGCACAUUUAUCGUUGAUUCAACUUGUUCUCAAGCUGAAAUUACUGGUACACAACCAAAAGCUUCAGGAACGAGGCACUGAAAGUAUGGAAGGAGCUUCUAGCAUGAGAGAUACUGAGCUGAAGAAACCUGCUGCUCCGGAAUCAGGAAAUUCUGAUAGGUCUAAGAAAAAGGAAAGCAUUUUCGCCGUUGAUAUUGAAAUGAUAAAGAUAUCAGCUGCAGCUGGAGAUGGGGUUGAUGUAAAGGUGCAGGUUCAUUCAAUUUUUUCAGAGAAUGCCCGUAUAGGAGUACUUCUUGAAGGAGUUAUGCUCAGUUUUAAUGGCGCCAGAUUGUUGAAAAGUGGCAGAAUGCAAAUUUCUCGCAGACCUAGUCCUUCUACAAGUGUAUCUGAUGCAAAAUCGCCCGCAGCUAUCACAUGGGACUGGGUGAUUCAAGGUCUUAAUGUUCAUGUUAGCAUGCCAUUCAGGCUGGAAUUGCGUGCCAUUGAUGAUUCAGUUGAAGAUAUGAUCCGCGCCUUGAAGCUUGUAACUGCUGCUCAAACUCAACUUAUUUUUCCCAUAAAGAAAGAAAGCUCAAAGCCUAAAAAGCCGAGUUCAGCAAAAUUUGGACGUGUAAGAGUAUGUAUAAGCAAGCUAAUUGUUGAUAUCGAGGAAGAACCAUUGCAGGGUUGGCUUGAUGAGCAUUACCAGUUGAUGAAGAAUGAGGCUGAUGAGAUGGCUGUCAGGCUAAAGUUUCUCGAUGAAUUUAUUUCCAAAGUUAACAAUUCUCCUAAAAAUGCUGAAACAAAUGAUUCCACCACUGAAAGAAAGGUUAAUUAUAAUGGGGUUCAGAUUGAUGUACAAGAUCCUUCGGCUAUUCAGAAAUUGCAAGAAGAAAUGUACAAACAAUCAUUUAAAACAUACUACCAGGCGUGCCAGAAGAUAGUAACUUCUGAAGGCUCAGGUGCCUAUAGGGAGGGGUUUCAGUCUGGUUUUAAGCUCAGCACUUCAAGAACUUCUGUUCUUACCAUUUCUGCUACUGAGUUGGAUGUAACCUUGACAAAGAUCGAUGGUGGAGAAGAUGGGAUGAUAGAUGUUGUAAAAAAGCUUGAUCCUGUUGCUCGUGAACUGGAGAUACCAUUUUCUCGGCUCUAUGGCUGUAAUAUUUUAUUGCGUACUGGCACUCUUGCUGCUCAGAUAAGAGAUUACACAUUUCCUCUUUUUGCUGCUAGCGCUGGUAAAUGUGAAGGCCGUGUUGUUUUGGCACAGCAGGUAAGGUCCAGAGCUGCUUCUCAUCCUCUUCUUCUCCUUCCUUCAGGCUAUAUAUCUCUCUCAUUUGCUGCAUAUUGAGCUGCAAUCCAGUGUACGUACUGUCUUGCUUCUGUUUGUUCCUUCUUUCUCUAAUUGUUAUUAUUCUUCUGUUGAAUUAGGCAACCUUCUUUCAGCCCCAAGUUUACCAAGAUGUCUUCGUUGGGAGAUGGAGAAAGGUGCAGUUGCUCCGAUCAGCAACUGGCACAACUCCUCCAACGAAAUCGUAUCUCGAUUUGCCUUUAUCUUUUCAGAAAGGUGAAGUGUCAUUUGGAGUUGGCUAUGAACCAUCUUUUGCCGACAUAAGCUACGCUUUUACAGUUGCUCUCCGAAGGGCUAAUCUGAGCGUCAGAAAUCCUGGUCCACUAGUUCAAGUGCCAAAGAAAGAGCGUAGUUUACCAUGGUGGGAUGAUAUGAGAAAUUACGUUCAUGGAAAUGUCACCUUAAACUUUUCUGAAACUAGAUUUCAUAUUCUUGGAACACCUGAUCCUUAUGAAAAGCUUGACAAUCUUCAAAUUACGUCUGAUUCUAUGGAGAUCCAGCAAUCAGAUGGCCGUAUAUAUAUGUCUGCAAAGAACUUCAAACUUUUCCCAUGCAGUUUGACGAGUUUGGCAAAUAACCGUGGCAUGAAAAUUCCCAGUGGUGUAGAUGGUUGUUUCCUUGAAGCUCCAGUCUUUAUUAUUGAAGUUAUAAUGGACUGGGGUUGUGAUUCUCGUACUCCACUGAAUCAUUAUCUAUUCGGACUCCCAAAUGAAGGGAAAACUCGUGAAAAAGUUUUUGAUCCCUUUAGAUCAACAUCUCUCUCGCUCCGGUUUAAUUUAUCUCUAAAACCAUCAUGUGAGAAUCAAUCAUCUUCUUCUUCCACAGGUGGUAGCAUUGUUGUUGAUGGGACUGCUUUUCCAACAACAUUUAAUGUGGGUUCUCAUGAUUUGGGAUGGUUAAGUAAGUUUGGCAAAUUGAAUGUUCUUCCUCCUUACAAAUUACGUUUGUUCUCCCGUUUUCCCCGUUUUGGAUGUCCCAGAAUACCCAGAUCAGGUAAUUUAUCAAUGGACCGAGUGAUGACAGAAGUUUGCCUUCGUUUAGAUGCUACCCCUCUUCGUAUAAAACAUAUGCCGUUAGAAGAUGAAGAUCCAGCAAAAGGACUUGCUUUUAAUUUCGCCAAGUUGAAAUGUGAAAUCUGUUUCAGUCGGGGUAAGCAGGAGUUCACUUUUGAAUGCCAGAGAGAAAGUCUUGAUCUUGUUUACAUGGGUGUGGACCUUCACAUGCCUAAGGUCAUCAUAGAUAAAGAAGACUGUAUCAGUGUUGCAAAAAUAGUUCAAAUGUCAAGGAAGAAUUCCCAGCCUGAGAAACUUCCCAGUGAAAAACGAGAUAAUAUUGAGAAGCACAAAGAUGAUGGAUUCUUUUUAUCAUGUGAUUAUUUUAUAAUCAGAAAGCAGGCACCCAAAGCUGAUCCUGAAAGUUUAUUGGCAUGGCAAGAUGCUGGGAAAAAAAAUACUGAGAAGACACUUGUGAGGACUGGGACUGAAAAUGAAAAUGAGAGUACUGAUGAUCAUGCAAGCGAUGAUGAGGGAUACAAUGUGGCAGUUGCUGACAAUUGUCAGCGAGUUUUUGUUUAUGGUCUCAAGAUUUUAUGGAAUAUUGAGAAUAAGAAUGCUAUUUUCUCCUGGGUUGGUGGAUUAACCAAAGGAUUAGCGCCUCCCAAGCCUUCUCCUUCUCGACAGUAUACACAGAGGAAAUUGCUUGAGGAGUCCCAGUCACAUGCAGAAACUGAAGUGAAUCAAGACGAUGCAUCUAAACCACCUUCUACUAGUCAAGAUGCUGAUUCUCCUUCUAAAAAUGAAGAGAGUUCAGGAUCUAACCCACCUUCAUCAGAUUCAGCUAAACCAGAGAAUUCAUCUUCAGCUGUCGGUAUGUAUUGAGAUUUGUUUGAACUCUUUACUUUUACAAUUAUGAAAUUUUUUAGCUAAGAGAUGUAGAUUUUCUUGGCAGUUUUUCCAGCAAGAAAUGAAAGCGCAGAUGAUCCUGACGAGGAAGGGACUCGCCAUUUCAUGGUGAAUGUUAUUCAGCCACAAUUCAAUCUCCAUUCAGAAGAAGCCAACGUAAGCUGUUAUCUUAUACUUUCAGAACCUUUUGUGAACAUCGAUCUUCUAGCGAUUCUAAUGAUAUGGGUUAAAUUAUUUUGCCCACCAGGGUAGAUUCUUGCUUGCUGCUAUCAGUGGUCGAGUUCUGGCUCGAUCAUUUCAUUCUAUCCUUCAAGUUGGACAUCAGGCGAUUGAAAAGGCACUAAGCAGUGGAGAUGUACAGAUUCCUGAAACAUUACCUGAAAUGGCAUGGAAGCGCAUGGAGUUCUCAGUGAUGUUGGAGCAAGUGCAAGCUCAUGUUGCACCAACUGAUGUUGAUCCUGGUGCUGGACUUCAAUGGCUUCCAAAAAUUAAGAAAAACUCACCUAAAGUAAUUCGCACUGGCGCUCUACUUGAAAGAGUGUUUGCUCCUUGUGAUAUGUACUUGCGAUAUACAAGACACAAAGGCGGGACUCCAGAGCUGAAGGUCACAAAGCUGUUAUCUUUUCAAUGGCGAUUUUAUCUACUUUGAUUUGCUUGUGAAUGAAUUUUGAUCUAUAUUGGGUUCUCAAUUAAUUUUGAAAAACUUAUUUUAUUCUGCAGGUGAAGCCUCUAAAGGAGCUCACUUUCAAUUGUGAUAACAUAACGGCAACAAUGACAUCUCGCCAGUUUCAGGUUAUGCUGGAUGUGUUGACGAAUCUCCUCUUUGCACGGUCUCCUAAGUGAGAAUUUUACCCUUUCUUCUUCUUCUUGUCUACGUCUAUUUCUCUAAAAAUAUUUUUUUAAAAAAAUUUUAAACAUUUUUUUUCUUUUACAUUUACUACAAAAAAAUUGAUCAAAGUUAAAGAGAAAAUUAGAUAAUUUUAAGAUAUAUGAAUUCCUCCUUUCAAAAAAUUAAACCACUUUCUGAAAUUUGAAAAUCAUAUUAAAAUUAGUUUAUCCUGUGCAAUUAAUUUUUGGUUGGCAAUCUACUUAAAUGGGUGCAUUUUUUUUUCUUGAAAUUAAUUGGCGUAACAUAUGUGGUUCAGGCCUAAGAAGAGUAAUCUCGCAUUUCUGGCUGAAGACGAAGAAGAUAUCGAAGAAGAGGCAGAUGAGGUGGUGCCUGAUGGGGUGGAAGAGGUUGAACUUGCUAGAAUCGAGCUUGAAGUAAAAGAACGGGAUCAAAAAUUACUGCUUUAUGAUAUCAGGAGAUUGUCCCUUAAUGGCGAUACUUCUGGGGAAAUAAAUUCAAAAAUAGAAGGAAAAUUGUGGAUGAUCACUGGUGGAAAAUCUGAUCUGGUGAGAUAAGCUUGUCAAUAACGACUCUUUUUACAAAACAAAAUUUAAAUAUUUAUUUAUUUUUAUGAAUAUUUGCAAAUUUUUUGAAAUAAUUAACCUUUACCUCUCUAGGUCCAAGGGUUGAAGGGAGAGCUUGUAAAUGCAAAAAAAUCUAAAAAGGCAGCAUCUGCAUCUUUAAGGACGACUUUGCAGAAAGCUGCCCAAAUACGUUUGAUGGAAAAGGAGAAGGAGAAGAGCAAAGGUUCAUCCUGUGCAAUGCGUAUAUCUUUGCAAGUCAGCAAAGUUGUUUGGAGCAUGCUUUUAGAUGGUAAAUCUUUUGCAGAGGCUGAGAUAAAUGACUUAGUAAGUAUCCCAAAACAUCUAUUUUCUUUCAUCUUUUUCUAUUUUACUCUAAAUUCAAAAGGAAAUUUUUGUAAGAAUCACAGCUCUCAUAAUGGAGAUUUGCUUGUAUGCAUUCUUUCUCAGAUCUUUGAUUUUGAUCGUGACUACAAGGAUGUUGGAGUUGCUUUGUUUACAACAAAAUUUGUUGUCGUUAGAAACUGUUUGCCUAAUGCCAAGUCUGAUACGAUUCUCUCAGCAUGGAAUCCUCCACCAGAAUGGGGAAAGUAUGGCCUUUUCUUCUCUAUAUAUCUUCUGUUUAGAAGUUAUCUAGGCCCAUACUUCUUAGUCAUGCAUUCUAACAUUAUGAUUAAAACUUAAAUAAUUUUUUUAUCAAAAUUUUUGAUGUGACUCGAAAUAAUUAACCAUGUUAUUUAAUAAUUCAGAAAUGUCUAUUAUAAAUUCCUUAAAUUUUCUUUUGUAAUUUUGUUGUAUUUUGGUUGGUUAGUAUCUCUAGCAGCUCCGCUUCACUCUAUAGACAGUAUUCUACUCGCAGACGGAUAGAACUACUAAUUUUUUUGACCCAAGCGGACUUACUAAAAUUGAUAUAAAUAAUUUUUAAAUUUGUUUUCAUUUGAUUUCAAAAUAGUUAACCGAAAUGUUUAAUAGUUCUAAUAUAGCUAUUAUAAAUCACUUGAAUUUUCUUUUCCCUACUGAUGUGUGACUUCACAUUACUCUUUCGGCUGCAGAAAAGUCAUGCUUCGGGUAGAUGCAAAGCAAGGAGCUCCAAAGAAUGGAAAUUCCAAUAUUGAACUUUUCCAGGUAAUUUAGUUGUGUUUUCCACUUCGUUCCAUUAUGCUCCUCUCCUUUGACUUCUCACAGCUAGCAUCGAUUGAAAUAAUAUAUGGAGCAUAAACCAUCUGCAAGCAUCUUCUAAUCUGUCAAAAUCAUUCCCCAUAUGUGCAUGCAUAGAAUGAAAAUGCAUGUUAUUGUUAGUCCUUUUGGUAAACUAUAAGUUGAAGAUUAGUAGAUAUUUGUCUCGUUCUUGUUUAACAUAAUCUCUUUUUUUUACUUCAGGUAGAGGUUUAUCCCCUUAAGAUUUAUUUGGCAGAGACAAUGUACAGGAUGAUGUGGGUGUAUUUCUUCCCAGAAGAACAACAAGAUUCACAAAGGCGACAGGUAAGUUGAAGAUUGCUAUGAUUUAGAACAGAUUAACAAAUUACUCAGACACAUACAAGCUUAAUUUGGGUUGUGUAUUAAUCAGGAAGUUUGGAAAGUUUCAACAACUGCUAGUGCCAGACGUGCGAAGAAAGGUUCAGCAAUUGGUGAUGCUUCACAUGGCCAAUCAAAAGAUACUGAUGUUGCAUCCAAAAUCAUGGCUGGUUUCGGCACAAAGUUGAGAAGAACAUCGUCUUUUGACAGAACAUGGGAGGAGUCACUUGCAGAAUCUGUUGCUACUGAACUUGUCAUGCAAGCUCAUUCAUCUGGUAUUUCAUCUUCAAAAGUCGACCCAGCAAGUUUAAUUGAUCAAGCAGAUGAUUCCUCCAAAAAUAAACCAAAUACCAAGCUUGUAAAAUAUGGUUGUCCAUCUCUGGAUGAAAAGAAGCUUGGAAAGCCAAUUGAUGAUAAAAAUGCUCGGCCUAAAAAAGUCAUCGAGUUUCAUAAUAUUAAGAUAAGCCAAGUGAGUUCAAUUUGAAUGAAAUGAUCAUUUGUUUUUGUUUUUUUUAAUGCAAUGAUUUUGAUUAUGCAGCUAAUAUUUUUUAAUUACUCAUGUAGGUUGAACUACAAAUUACUUACGAAAGCUCAAGAUUCAAUCUGCAUGAGCUUAAGUUGUUAAUGGAUACAUUCCACCGCGUUGAGUUUACUGGGACUUGGAGGAGGCUCUUCUCACGAGUAAAGAAGCAUGUCGUUUGGGGGACCUUGAAGUCUGUGACAGGAAUGCAGGUAAUAAGAUUCAUUUAUUAGGAGGAUCCGAUCUACUAUAAACCCAAAAAACAAUGAAGCGAGUCCUAUAUGCUUUACCUUUUAUCCAACUAAUUCUAUGUUUGAUAUUCUCUGUUGAUUUUGUAGGGUAAGAAAUUCAAAGAUAAAUCACAUACUCAAAAGGAAGCCAACGUACCUAGUGUCCCCGAGAUUGAGCUAAAUCUUAAUGACAAUGAUGGUCAAGCUGAACAGUAUCCAGACUGGCUUAAGCGUCCAAGUGAUGGAGCAGGUGAUGGAUUUGUAACUUCCAUAAGAGGUCUUUUCACUACUCAACGUCGUAAAGCCAAGGCAUUUGUGCUAAGAACUAUGAGGGGUGAAGCAGAAAAUGAUUUUGGAGGUGACUGGAGUGAAAGUGAUGCAGAUUUCUCUCCAUUUGCUAGGCAACUAACAGUAACAAAAACUAAGAAGCUUAUCAGACGCCACACAAAGAAAUUCUCAAGAGGACAGAACGGUUUGUCUGAUUUUCCUUUACUACUCUCAAUUGCUUUCUUCCUUUUAAGAGUUUCGACCUAAUUGUCAAGUUGUAAGUAUAUACCUUGUCAAUCCAGAGAUUGAUUGGUUCGGUAUAUAAACAAGCUGGUGCGGGUAAGAAUGUUUCAUCGCUAUAGAAUCUCAAAUUUGCACAUAAUGGCUUUUUUAGGUUCACCCAAGCUAGAAGGGGAAUCACAUCCAUUCUCUCCAAGGGAAGGUACUCCAUUUGAACCAUAUGAUAGUGAUUCUUCUAGUGAAUCUGAGCCAUAUGAGGCACUUCAGGAGCAACUCGAACUCCAAGCGCUUAAAGGAGAAUUAUGAAGUCCUUCAGACAUGAUCCAUGUUGUCUUAUUCAGUCAAGGGACAACGUGGAAUUUGCCUCUCAUUCUCGGCCUCUACCUAUGAUAGGAAGUUUGAAAGAUUUAAAAUGUGUCACGUCAUAUUUUAAUAAGAGCACAAUGCAGCAUAUCAAAUGAGUAUGCUUUCAAAAUUCAACUACACAAACUGUGAUGAAUCAAAUCCAUGAGACACCUAGCUGCCUCUUGGGAGGGUAAUCAUUUUGGCUUCACAGUUGUGUUUAAAUUUUUGUAUCCUAUUUGGCUUAUGAGCUACAAUAAUCUUACAAAUUUCUAUGUAUUUUGAAUAAAGAAUGGAAAAUAAAGAAAUGAUGCAAUGUCAUCUUCUGAGGCCUGAAACUUUCUUUGCACAUAUGUUGAAUGGAAAUUUUUUAAAGAUUGGUAUCAUUAAUUAUUUUUUUAAAAUGUCCUACAUCAAGAUAGGAUAUAGUAUUUUAGAGAAAAUUUAACACUUCUCCUUCUUCCAUUGGUUGUGAGGUUGGAGCUUUAGAAAAACCCUAUCUCCUACGUUAACUUUCCUUUUAGUGUCAGCCACCAAUUCCCAAUUCUAAACUAAGAAAAUUUGCACCUUAGUAAUUACAAUCGCCAAUGAAAUCAUCAAAACUGAACACAAGCGAAGGAUAACCACAUAUAAAGGGGACAUUUUAAUGCUUUUGUAAAAAUUAAAAUCGUACCAUCAAUUUACCAAAGGCAACCAUGCACUCCAUUCAUGAGGAUGCUGUAAUUUUUCGAGCAACUAUUCAAUCUUUCAGUCUGUCCAUCAUAUUGAGGAUACAAUACAAAAAUAUGCUUAUCUCUUACGGCUAGGUUUAAUUUAUCGCUAAUAGAUAGUUUUCGUCAGUAAUUGUUCUAGCAAUAUAUAUUAAGUUGUCGCUAUUCGUCAUAAAUACUUCCCUCAUUAAUAGGUCUUUCGCAACAGUCGUUCCAAAUAACAUUUUUCCAAUUACUUGUCAUUAAUCGUGAAUGAUUUUAUGUGUCGUUGAAGCAAUGAGAAAAUGAGGAAGUAACCUUUAGCGACAAAAAAUUGGUCAUCGCUAAUGAAAAUUAACGACAAAACUUUUACAUGCAAUGGGUAAGUCAUUGUCACUAAAAACAUAAAACUUGUUGCUACCAAACAAAUAAAGUGAUGAAAUUUUUUAAAGAUGAAAUAAAUAUUGUAGCUAAAAAUUAAACUAGUGACAAAAACUUACAUUUGCAACGAGUUUACAUUCAUUAUUGCUAACAUAAAAUUGAAAAAAUUACUACCUAGUCGUUAUGGUAUAGAAAAACUCACUAAUUGUUCCUUCGAUUUUUUAAAAUGUAUUAAAAUAUUCUUGACGUUUUAAAAACUCUACUAUUUAAUUUUUCCGUUAGUUUUAACCGUUAAAUCUUAUAAAAAAGUUUAAAAUAUCUCUAAUACAGAGCUAAUUAAUAAACUUUUUAAAAAUCUGAGAGACUGAUUAAUAAAUUUUUAAAAUUAUAAGGACUAAAUAGUAAAAUAUUUAACGACAAAAUUAACAAAGAUAAUAUAUAACUCGUAGAUUUUUUAAAAUAUUAAAGACAUUUUAAUAUAUUUUUCAAAAUCGAUGGACUAACUAGUGAGUUUUUUCAUACCAUAAGGAUUAAGUAAUAAUUUUCUCCAUAAAAUUUGUUACUAAUAAGUAUGUACAUAUAGACAUAUUUAACGACAAAUGGAUGGUUGUCGCUAAUUACAAUUAGUGAUGAGAAAUUAUAUUUGCAAUGAGAUUAGACUUAUAGUUAAUAACAUGAGAUUUGUCGCUGAUAAUUACAUAAGCAAGGAAAAACCCAUUAGCAACAAAACUUGUUAUGAUAUGAGAAUAUUUUUUUUUUUCGACCUAAUACGCACUUUAACCUUAAAAAAUAAGUACUUUUAAACAUAAAUUUGCCUUGUCAGCAUAUUAUGUAAUUUCACGCGAUAAUACGCGAGUGAAGGUAUAAGUCAUGCUUACGUGGCACCAGCGAAAGGAGAGAGAGGAAACGUUUGAACAUAUGUAUUGUGCCCUCAGUUAUGCUCUGUUGUCAUGUAACCUUCCAGAGCAUCACUUAAUAUUGAACAUCCAAUAAAUAUUUGAUGAAAGCUGCAAAGUAUGAGCUUUAUUUCAUAUAAUCGAAUAUCAACCUCUCUAAUUCACUUUAUCAUUUGAGUUGUCCAUCUUUCUACAGAUUGUUAUUGGUUGUGUUGGCAUUUGAUCUCCAGCUGCAAAGUGGAUUGGAUUCUUCGAUCCUAAAUAUCUACAAGCUUAGUUCCAACAGCCGAUCUUUUAAAUUAAAGGUAAAUUGUUAAAAUAUGAAAUCUAAUAAUAUAUUAUGGAUUGUGUACUGUACGGUACAUAAUAAAUUGUUAAGAUAUGAAAUUUAAUAAUAAUGAAAAAUACAAUAAGUCACGGUGAUAGAUUUAUAUUUAUUUGUUUUAGAAUAUUUUUUAUUUAUAUAAAUUUGAUAAAGUUGUAAAUUAAUUAAACUUUUUGUAAAAUUAGUGAAGAGAAAUGCAAAAAAUUAUGUAUAUAAAUAGCUAGGUUAAAUAUAAAAUUUAUUUAAAAAAUAAAAAUUUUAAUUUUCUGUUUUUAUCUUAUAAGUAAUAGUAAUCAUAUUAGAUAAUCUCUCUCUUACCAUAAUAUAUAAAACAAAAGUCAACCACAUUUUUUAUAUUUGAAAUUAAGAAUUUAGAUAAAUUUUAGUGAAAAAUGUCAGAAAAUCAUAAAUUUUUAAUUGCACUAUUUAAACUGCUAAGAGCUUUUCGGAGUGAAUUUAAAUUAAUAUUUUUUUUAUAAAUUAUUUUAAAUUUACAUUAAAAAAUAUAUUCUUUAUUUGUUUUUUAAAUAGAAACCGAGAAUCGGAAAAAUAGGAAUUGAGAUAUUUUAAAUUUAUUUAAAUGCGCUUACUAUCAAAAUACAAAUAUAUUCAUUAUUUAUCAUACUAAAAUAUAUUUAUUAUUCUAAUUAAUUGAAUAAAUUAAAAUAUAUCUUUAUUAUUUUUCAGUCUUAUAUUUUAAAUUUAAUCCAUCCAAACACAACGGAAGUGAAAAUACAAUAUAUUGAUUUCUUUUAAAGAACUUUGAUUGCCCUAUAGAGUUAAAUGCUUCUGCUAGGCCGUUCAAGCAAAACUGUGGUAUGAGCCAUAGUGCAGCCAUCUCCAACACAACUUGAGGAUUGUUUAAAUGACCUUCCACGAUUGCUUUUCUUCGUCAGGUGUUCUCAACAAUUCCUGCAACUACCAUAGACAUGCAAGAAAAGAAUAGACCGAUUCCCAUCCUCAGUUAAACACCAAGUCUGACUGGCUUACCCUUGAUUUUUGAUGCUAAAGGAAGGAGUACUUUAUCAUACAAAACAAUCCAUGUUAUGAUAGAAAUGACCAAGAACAUAGCAAAAGUGCCUGCUGGGAUUUCAAAAUUGGAAGUUAGGUGUCUGUCCAUAGAGAUAGCUUGGAGCAUUUGUAACGAGCCUUGGCUAACGUUUAUCGAGAUCUUAAUCCCUGUAUACUAUACUGGGAUAACCCUGAUGAUAACUUUGAGUUCUUCUACUCUCUCUGCUGUGCAAAGACUCCAUGGAUUUGAUGCUGAUCCAUCUGGAGCUAAAUCUUGUUCUGGGUUUCUAAUGAUGCAAGCCUUGUUUAAGAAUUUAAUAACAAUAAUUUUUCAUUAAUAUUGAUUCUUAGAUUCUUAGUUGGUACAAUUGAUUCUGAAUUCUUUUUGUGAUGAUACUUGCUAUCUAAAUCUGUAGGAGGGAAUGAAACUUUUCUAUUCUUGUAAGCAGCCACAAGAACUUGUGCAAAGCCGGUGAGCAAAUUCGUGCAUUCUUUCUGCUUGAAGUAAAGUGGAGAAGCAAUAAAGAACAAAAGAAUGGACAAGAACAUAAGAAUUGUAGGAACCCCAUAACCCACUUUUCAACCGUGAUGUUCUUGAAUAUAAACAACAGGCGUAGUACCAUCAGAAGUAGCUCUCUAAUACCCCCCUUGUUUUUAGAAUCAGAUCUGUUAUCCAACUAAUCAGCCCCAAAUGCUAAGGAACAUGGCCUAAUGCCACCAGCUCUAAAUGGAGAUUAAGCCCGUGGAGAUGAUAAGCACAGCAACCAUGUUGGGGUUUCACAAAUUGUUGGGAUCAUUUGGUUGCAAGGGGGAGAUCUCAAAUACCGAAUCAUGGCUGUUAACCACAAAAAGAUCAUUUCCUGUAUCAAAAACUCUACGUGACCUAAAUAAUUUUUUAACUCAUUUUUUAUUUGAUCUAAAAUAAUUAAUCUAAAUUAUUUAAUAGUUUCGUGUUUAGCUAUUAUAUACAAUUUUAAUUUACGGUAAUAUAUGACAGAUUAACGUUAAAAGAGAUUUAUAUUUAUAGAGGAGAAUUACCUGGAGACUGAACAUGAAACCCAUGCCAAUACUAGAAAGCGACCCAAGUAUGAAUCGGAUGCUAAAGCACCCAAAAGAGGCGUGAAAUUUAUAGCAGCAUUCCAGAGGAAGAUUGUGGUUACACUCAUGUGAUAUUCUUUCAUCAAGUAGAAUACCAUGUUUAGUAGAAGUCCAUGGCUUGCCACCCUCUCAAAAGACUCAUUUGCUGGUUACAAUUAAUCAGAUAGAAAAUCAAGAUCGAAAAGUGAAUCGCUAUAAAUACCAAAAAAUUAACAUAUAAAAAUAUGCUGUUUUAUACUUUAUUUUAUACUAUAAAAAUUCACUCAAAUGACUUUAACUUCACUAGCCUUCUAAUUUUAUUAGUUUUAUUUUAGCAUUCUUUCUUUUCAUACAUAUUUUUUAAUUUCUUCCAUAAAAUCUGUACGUUAACUUCAUUACUGAUGUGAGAAUAAAUUUUAAAUUCAAUCCAUGGUCUGAUAUUUUUCAGAGGUUCUCUGUGCAGUUUCUCUUUAGAUAUCUUAUAAAUUUGUCAAUAUUUAAAUAGACUUCCGAAUUGAAUAAUUUGUAGCUGACAAAUUGAUCAUGGAACUCAUUGGGUGAUCAUCUUCAUUGAUACAGUUAAACUCACACUCAGAAGUUAAGUAGGCUCUAAUACCACUUGUUGGGAGUACUCAAUAAAAAUAAAUGUAAUAUGUUAAUAAAAUACAAAAAAUAUGUAAGAAAAUAGAAGAUUAACCACAAAUCAAAAAAUACAAGAUUUAUAAGAAAAAUCCUUCAGUAUAGAGAAAAAAUCACGAGCCAAAUUCUGAAUUAAAAUUUACUAUUAAGAAAAAUCAGUACAGUCGCUUUCUUAUUACUUACAAAUAAGAAAUCUUCUCUACCUACAACACAAUGAAAAAAAAAAAAUCUUUAAAUAUACUUGAUCAGAAAUACUAGCUAAUCUCGAUAGUGACAAGAAAUAUAUUGCAUCUUAUCUUUUUUUUUGUAAUCUUUGCCUAACAACCAUACAAAAAGAAUCCCCUUUAAAGCUAUACAUCCUCACUCUCUUUAAAACUUUUGGUCUUUCUCUUCUCUAUCUUAUAUAAAUCUCAUCCUUCGGAGCAAAGAAGUAAAAAGCCAAUAACUCAAUAGUUUAAAAAUCCACUUUACAACAAACAUUAAUAAUCUUUACACUUGCAGAAAUCGUACAACACAUACUUUAGGGAGAAGAAAACAAGCUCUCACCUGCUUAACUAUAGGGUCAGAUAUACCAUAGCCACUAAGGAUAAUCCAUCCAAGCUAAUAGAAUUGCAUGUAGUUAAAGCAAGAUUAAGAAGAAGUAUUACUUCUACAAUUCCCUUCGUUGAAAGAAAGCAACAGAAUACGAAACGAGAGAAAAACUGGAAAUGAGGGAACAAUUUCGCACACAGAACACCAAAGCUCUAAAAUCCAGUACUAUCCUUUAUCCUUGGAAAAAAAAAUAAAAAAUACCUAAGGGAUAAAAGAAAUUAGAGUUGUGCACGUCUCUGGAUGCUCAAAUCAAAUUAUAAAACUGUAUCGUAUAAUUCUAGAAUCAAAAAAGAAUUAUUAUAAAAAUUAAACUUAAUUUAUUUAGCUAUUUACUUCUAGUCCUAAUUAUUUUACAAGAAUGAUUUUAAAACCAAAAUGAAACCGAAUCAAAAAACUGAUUAUAUAUGUAUAAUUUUUAAAUGAUGUUUAUGAUAUUAUUAUUAUAUAAAUAAUAUGUUAUAUAUCACAUAGUUUCAAGAUAUUUUUGUAAAUUAUAUUAUUAAAAUUAUAUAAUUCUAUUUAAAUAUUUUAAUUUUAAUUCUACCAAAUGUUAAAUAAUGUAUAGUAGAAAAUUAUAAAUAAAGAAGAAUAUAAACAAAAUAAGUUAUUCAUAAACUAUUUACGACUCAACUUAAUAAAAGCUAAGUUUAUUUUGCAUACAUACAUACUCUUUUUUAUUAUUUUUAUAUUCAUAAAUUAAAUUAUUUAUAUAAUUCAAGUAUAAACUCUCUAUAUUAAUUAUUGAAUAAUAAUUAACAGUGUUAUAAAAUAACACUAUAUAUUUUAAUUAGUUAUUAAAAAUUUCUAACUAUAUAUUUUAAAUAACUUAAUUUAUCGAUUACAGUUUAAUUUAUCUAAGUAGAUAUAUCGAUAAUGUCAUUAUUAAUUGAAUUUACUGUAAUAGAUUUUAAAGUUUUAUUAAUCUAAAUAAUUAAAAUAUUUUCGUCAAUUCAUGCUAUUCUAAAUUUUUUAUUUUGGUUGAACAUUUAAGAUUUAUCACAAUUUUAAUUAUGAGUUUAAAUUAAUUUUGAUUAAAAUUUAAGAUAUAACAUUUACCAUUUUACUUGAUAUUUCUUUUAUUUUUUAUCUUAUUAAAUAAUAAUUUAAUUUGUUUAUACAUUUAUAUUUAUAUCCAAAAUUUUAUUCAAGCAAUGAAUAAAAAAAAGUAAUGGAUAAAAAAACAGUUUAAAAAAAUAGAUAAUUGUUUUCUGCAAACUAACCUCCAUUACCUUUCUUUUACUUCACUUGGGCUCUAUUUUCUCCUUGCAAUCAGAGCUUUCUUUUAUUUCACUUGGGUUUUGUUUUCUCCUUGCAAAAAAUUCAUUAACUAAUUUGGUUUUCCUUUUAUCAAUAUUUCAUUUAUCGGUACUUUUUGCUAAGAUGGGAUAGCUAAUCUUCUAAAUAUUUUAAUAAAUAUAUACUAUCCAAAAUAAAAGUAUUAAAAUAUAAACAUGAAUUUACCGAGUUUAAAUUAUUUUAUCUAAAAACCUUAAAAGAUUGUGACAUAAAUGUUAAUUUACAAAAAGUUUUGAAAUAUUUAUUUAAUAAAUAAAAAUAUAAUUAAUACAUAAAUGUUAAUUUACAAAAAAUUUUGAAAUAUCUAAUUAAUAGACAAAAAUAUAAUUAAUAUAAAGACACGUAGGAUAUCAAACAGACAGAUUUCAAGGUCGGUUGUAGUUAUCCAACAAGAAACAGAGAAAUCGUCCCACUACAAAGCAGCAUCACAUGAUUACAGAACGUUGAUUAUUGCUGUUAAAUGAAGACUGGUAUUAUUUCCGAUCAUACCAUUCUUAAAAAUGACAGAAUUGAGGCAUAUUGAAAUUAUGUAACAGCCUAAUAAUUAAUCACUCAACCAUAUCAGCUAACAGAUCAUACACAAACAACAUACACCACUAGUAUCGACAAGGAGUAUUAUAUCGCCUUCUUCUAUUUUGCAGUUAGCUUGAAAGCAGCAUCACAUCUUCUCCCAUCGUCAGAUGAUUAUACUUGGGGAUCCAAUAUCAUGCCUGUUUCUAAUUACUACUCAAUUUGUUAAUUAACCCCCUUUUUUGAGGUAUCAGCAACUUUCCCCUCUGCAACACAACGACACGCACUAAGAUGACAGUGCCCAUUCACUACCUGACCCUUCCAAUGCUUCUGAACAGAAGCAACUUAUCGCCUUCUAAUCAAAGUUGGGAGGAAUGUCCAAUUCUGUAUCCGAAGGAUUAGCAAGCUCAACCAGAGGUUCCUGCCAACCCCACAAACUUGUAUCUGAGAUUAUUCUAAAAUGACAUCAGAAAUCAUUUGUUUGAAUGCAUUAUGCUUUUAAUAGGUAAACCAAGUGCUUAGGAAUGCAUUGAGAACUGAUAGCCUAUGAAUGUUGUGGGAUAUGAUUACCAAAGUCAGCUGCUUGUGACGAGGCAAUAACUUCGUCCGUUUCUUACUAUUUAAUAGCAAAAUGUCCAACCUAUGCAACAAUUUGUUGAUAAUUCUAUUCACAUACAAUUUCGGAAUGUGUGUGUGUGUAUAUAUACAUCACAUUUACAUGUUUUCAACAGUUCAAUUAUAUAUAUUUAAAAAUCACUAAAUAAACAUAAAAUAUUAAGGCAAAGUACAAGAAAGUAUCACGAGGUUUCGUUCAUUUACACCUUAGGGCAUGUAGCUCAAUUUUUAACCACAUGACAGCAUAACCCUUAUAUUGUGAAAACAAAUACUCUAGUGCCUUCAAGUUCGCUGAUGCGGCAGUGUCCCUCCCAUAAAAUAAAAAUCAUAUUUAUCUUAUCUAAAAUUAUUAAAUAAUUUUUUUUUACUUUCUAAAUUUGAAUAAUUUUUGUGGAGUCAUACAUUUUUAAAAAUAUUAUUUAUUAUAAUUGCAUUGCCAAAGCACCAAAUAAUACCGUACAAAAUUAAACUGUACCUUACUCUCAAAGGCCAAUAUCUAAAAAUAAUUUCUUAUGCACUUUUUUCAUCGCAAGUACAUACAAUCUCUUCAAAUACAUACAUGCAUGUAUGCCCUUUGUACUGUACUUUCUUAAUGAAUUGCUCAAUUUUUUUAUUAUAAUUAGAUAUAUCCAACAAAUAUUUAAAAGUAUAUUUAUAUUUUUAUUGUAUUAAACUACUCAAAUUCUUAUCAAUUAUUGUUCUCUUUGUAUACAUUUCGAUUUUCUCAUUAUUUCUCUAUUAUUUAUUUUUGUUUAUUUGCAAUAAUUAAUAAUUUUAUCCAAUAAUACUAAAUUAAAGGCAUAAAUUAAAAUAGAAGAGAGAAUAGCCCAAGCUUUCCAGCAGCCAUACAGCAUACUGUCAGCAAACCACAUGGCAAAAUCUCAGGAAAGUGGGCUUGCUUUAUACAGAUACAUGUAUAUAAGGUCAUAAAUUUUGAAGUUGCUAUGCGCUUUGGAAAACAAAGCAUCAGAAAUAUAACUAGGUGACCUUGGGAAACAAUCAUGCAGACAUUAAAAGACAAGAAUUAGGAAGCAUCAUCAGAAAUUGUUGACAUGGAUGGCAUACCUGCUCAUCAUCAUCCGCUGAAGAGUGGACAACUCCCAUUGGCAAAGUUCUAGUUAGAUCUUCAGUAGGUUCUUGCAAAACCUGUAUCACAUGAAAUAAGCCUUUUUUUUUUUGUCAAAGGGAAUAAGCAAGUUGCUAAAAAGCCAAAAUAUGUCCAUUAAGGUUAGAAAAUAAAAUACUACAUAUUGAAUUCCACAGCCUUGAACACUUUAUAUACACCCACUAUCAAACAAUUUAAGAAAAUAUAAAAUAUAAAAUCCACAUUAGGCCUAGUUGCUUUGCUGCAGGUGAAACAUGAUCUCACUUUCAAGUAUCUUGCAGCAUCAUACCAAUGGAAAACAAAUAGCUGACAUCUAUCAGGAAAAAAUGUUGAGGGAAGAAAAGGAAAGCAAUAACGCAAAAUUUCCACCCAAAAGCAGCAGACAAGAUGAAAGGGAAGAAGAAGAAGAGAAACAACAUAACAAAACAAGCAUAUAAUAAAAUAUAUUGCCUCUAUAUGUCAAGUCUAGGAAUCGAAUCAUACAACUUCUUCCGGAUUGACAGAAGGGAUGUUGGAUCCUUCAGUUACAGACAUACAAGGAUCUUCAGGAGUUCCCUGCAUGACCCAUAUAUCAACUUAAAAGGAUAGAAGUUCAAGUUUACUAACAAGAUAAAUCCAAUAGUUGAAGAAAAUUGCAACAGGCAAUAAUUUUUACAUGCUCAUCCUGGUUGCCAGAGAAUUCUCCUUCCAUUAUUGAAGGCUUGACAUCCAUAGGGAUUUCCUGCAUAUCCCAUUAUCAGGUUAUAACACACAUACUAAUAGAAGUGAUGUUAAAACCACCAUGCCAUGUAUUCCAGUUGGAUAAGAUUAAUGCAGAAAAUAUCAUGACCCACAUGCAUCUCACACCCAAAGGACAAUGCCAUGAAGAAUGGCAAAGAAGAGACCAUGGCAACCUAAUGCAAUCACAGUCGUUUUGUAUUUAGGAUUACCUAUUAAUAAUAAUGCAAUCACAGCAGAACAAAAUUCAGUUUUGCCCCAUCUUAAAAUCCAAAACUUGAAUAUAUUUGGACAUUUUAAAAAUAACAGAUCCAUAAGUUGAAGAAUUAGUUUCACAAAGGGGUUUCAGCUCUUUGUUAUUGUGCAUACAGGUUCAAUUUGGUCUAUAGGAACGUUCCUUCCUCCUUUGCUAAGAUCCCUCAGUGUUCCCUGCAGAAUCCAGAAGCAAAUGAAUAAACAACAAAGAUAAAGAGCCACAAUAAUUAGUGGCAUUAGGAGUCAAAAACGACCCAUAACCAUGAAAAGGGAGGGGGGAAAAAUUAUCAAGAGUUCCUAAUCUGACAAUGGUGCGCAAUGCACACUCUUUUUCACAACCAAACAGGACAAUAAAAAUAAAUGAACCAUACAUAUAUAUUCAUUCCUAUAUCCAUGCUAUUUUCACAUUUAAGUCCUAUAUUUCCACUAAAAUUGUAACAUAAGAUUUACAGGGCUCUAUUUGAGAUUUUGUUGGGAGGCCAACUUCUAAAAGUAGAACCAUAUUUUAUGCUGUUGAAAGAACAAUUAAGUUGUUUAGUGGUUCUUAAAACUAAAACAUGUCAAAUUUCACUUUAAACAAUUUUUAAUACCCUCUAACAUACUUAAGGAGGUGUUUUUCUCAACAACUCCUCCAACAAAAAGCAAAACAGACUCUAAAAUAAUGUCCCUAUUGCAUGUAAUUUUCACAUAAAAAUGAAUGUAAAGUAAAUAGGUACUGAGAUCAAGUGAACAAGGCAUAUUAGAUGUCCAUAUGAACUUGAACAGCACCUUGAACUUACAAAGAUGGAUGUACCAAAUGGUUACUGAAUGGACAAGACAAACCACAAAGUGAUACCUUCUUCAACAAACAAUUAGGACACAAAAAUUUCUAGAGAGAAAGAGAGGGUUUUUUCAAGCCACUCACUAAACAAUACAUUUUAAUAACCAAAAGAAAUUGAUAAAAAAAAAAUCUAAUGGAAAAUUAUAGCCCUUUAAUUUUAUUAGAGCACAAUGACCCUUUUACUCAAAUGGUAGCCAAACUUGUAAGCAACAGCCGGAAAGACUAUUUAGAAUCUACAAAGAUACAAGCCAGGGAUGGCCAUGGGCUGGUCCAGUUCAUGGCUUGGGACCAGUUCCAGGGGAAUUCUAUUUCCGGUUCCAUUUUAACCCAGGUUGAGAUGAUCAAUCUCAUGGUUGAAACAAUUGUCUUGAAACUUUUUUUUUUUUUUUAAAUAUCACCAUUCUAACAGAGCACAUCAAGGGUUCCAGUUCCAGUCUGGUUCAGGUUAAUGGGGGAGGAAACAUAAUCAGAACUGCCUUCACCCACCCCCUUCCCCAGAUCCAGUCCACUUCAAGCUCAAGGAAACAUUGACCACAACAGUCCUAGCCUGGUUCCAGACAAAAUCCAGCCUUGGACCACCAUUACAUGACUCUUGAUGUCUGACAAUUGAGCCAAACUGUAUUGAAACUCCACGUGAAUGCAAGUCCAUCUCCAACAAUUACAUGCAUUAAAAGUUAACUUGAAGCCAAUAGAAACCAACCUUAUUCGCCCACAUCAAGCCACAUGCAUUACACAAUGUCCUUGGUCCAGCUGGCCCACGACGCAUUGCAGGCGUAUUGUUUUCACUAACACCACAAUGUUGGCAUCUCCGAACACUGAAACAUCGCAGAAAUCCAAGGGGAGGAUUAAAAUCCAGUAUGACAAAGUCCAUAACUGAAAAACUCCAUAAACAGAAGUCAUGACAAUAACCAUUUCCAAAGGUCAAAACUAGUAAAGCCAGAUUAAGCUAGCAACUCACGCAGUUUCAGGAUGAGGAUUGCCCUCCUGUAGACAACUCUGCGCAGAAUCCCAACUUGAACCACAUGAGCUUUCUUUCAAGGAUGCAAACUGCCCAUUCUUACGGUGCAUCCUAACAAAUUAAUAAAUAGAAAAGAAAGAGCAACACAUUUACACCAAUAUGUUCAGAGUUUUAUAGAAUUUUCAUUAAUGGCAGGUUUUCCUCUCUCUUUUUUUCCACCUUUUUUAAUGCAUGUUCAGCAAGAUGAGAGAUUUGUCUCUUAAACAAAUUCAAUUCAAUUUUCCAUAUCUAGCAAGGGCUGUUCAGGGGAAAUAAAUACUGCAAAAUUUUAGUUGCAUAGUGUCAAUAUCUAAAGCAUACUUUCUGAAGACAGAUCCAAUUUCCUGAGAAACAAUAUCCAGCAAAAACAAACUGGUAUGUAGGUCCACUAGAUUAACCACAAAAACACCGAUUCAAACAAUGACCAAGUAAAAGGAAACAAGAAUUACUCACUCCUAAACUGUAAAGGCACAAUAAAUCAUAUCCUCAAGGUUUUAAAUAUAAAUAACAAUUGCAGAUCCUAACAACUUGGUUUUUUUUAACAGAAAUAUUUGCACUUAACAUAAUCAGACAGCACCAAGAAAAACUAAAAUAGUUCAGCUGCACCAUACCUCUGUGCAACCUCCUUUCGCACAGUGUAUCUUAUUUUCUUGUCAAAACAUCUCUCCUUCCGUUUCUCACGGAACCUAACAAGGGAGGCUAUUCUCCGUGAAAGGUUUGAGUGCUUUGGGGUGUCACCUAUGCCCUAGAAAGUAUGACAGUUAUCACAUGAACACAAGAAAGGAAGAACCAACUUAAUUGUGCUUGAUAUUUCAAUUCUGAAUUACCCUGCUAUUUUGAUCAUAGGUUACUUCAAUAGUAGGUACAGCAGUGGGUAUGUCUCGUCCACCCAGAAGCAAGAGCACUGCUUGCACCUGUUUUACCAAUUGAAACCAAACCAAUUUGUUCACUCCUUCAAAAUAAAAAUAUUCCAGACUACCAAAUGAAUGAGAAAUUGUGCGAACUGGGUAAUAAGUCACAUAAUUGCAAAAGUAACUAAUUUGCAAUCAAACACCCAACUGCAAAAUAUGGAUUCCAAAUAUUCAUACUUACAUGGGAAAGUGAAAUACUUUUCUUUCUUUUUGCAGUUCAGUGUAAAAAUAUCUCAAAAAAUUUCCUAAAAUUCCACAAAAGCUAUCUAUGGCAGUCACACAUGCACUCCCCAGAAAUAAAAGGCAUCCAGGUCCAUCUUUGUCAUAAAAUUCAAUUAAUAGAUACAAAUAGUUAAUGCUGCAGAAACAAGUAAAUUGAAGAUGGGCACGGAGUUACUGGAAAAAGAAAACAAUAAUGGAUAAAGAAAAGUACACGACCUUUGUAUAAAAUUAGAAAAGACAUAUCUUAUAAAAAAUAGUGGCAAUAUCCACUUCACUCCAGUAACUUCAAAAAUUCCAAAUCAACUCCCAACAUUCAAUCACAUUAAACCCCUAAAAACGCAGCAAUAAUAGUAAUAAUAAAAUCAAUAAUUUCAUAAGAACAGAUAGCCACACAAAGAAGUAAGAAUAAAAGUAAGCAUAAGUACAAAGGCAUGCAAGAGUCUAAAUUAAAAACAGAAGAAGAAAUUGUGUACAAAAAAACAUAAAAGGAGCCGAAUGAACAAGCUAUCAAAUUAUUAAUUAGAGAAAGCACAGAGGGCAAGAGAGAGAGAAAUAGAGCGAGCCACCUUCUCAGGUGUAACAGCAGGAAAAACAUAAACCUCCCCUUCAAAAGAUAGAGUUAGUUCACUAGUCCUCGACGCCAUAACCAUACCAGGUCCACCUCCAACUCCGACGUGAUGCUCCGCCACGUUAACACGGGAAUUCAUGAGCGGCUCAUCAACAUCAUCCAUGGCGUCACCAUCCUCGUACUCCCCGCCGUCGUCGUCCUCGAUCUGUAUCGGCGCUCGCACGUGUUCUUCAUAAGGACGCGCCUGCAGUGGCUGUGGAUUCGCUGCCGCCAUUUAAAAAACCUUAACGUCGCUGGUCGACCUUCAGUCACAGAGAACACAAACCCUAAGCUAAGCUUGAAGCUGUCUGUUUCAUUGGAUAUGGUGAGUAAAUGUUGAAGCACUGGAAACCCUAGACCGAAUUGGAAUUUGCCAAUUUUAUAUGAGCUCUUGAGAAGCUUCGAAAAUGGAAGAGAGACAAAGCAACCUAAAA